UUGAAUCUUGUUUUAUUGUUCACAUGGUAUGUCUUAUUUUCUAGAGUUUUGUAUAUCACCAUAUGAAUUUAGCAAAAGAAAGGGACGUAGAUAUUUUGCAAUAAUAAAUCGUUUCAUUAAGAAUAAAAAGAUUACACAUAAAUUAGAAUAGAGGGAGUAUGUGAGAUAUUCUAACAAACAUUAAUGAUUUAAUUUAACCAUCGAGCAAUUCAAUAGCCACACUUUGGAUGGAGAUCACAUCUCCACCCGUUUUAGGAACCACAGUUACCGUAAUGGUAUCGUCAUCUUCCAGUUCAAUGUCCUCUAACAGUUCAGUAAUGCCUAGCUGAAACAUCUCAUCAGAAUCCAUUUUCUGAUUAUGUGCAUGAACAUGAGGCAAGUUGACAUAGCUCCCCGCGAACUCCACCUUAUCAAGCUCAUCUGUAUUCAUAUCCUCAUCCUCGUUCAGGAACACAUCAAAUCUUAUAUAUUUGUUAGUAUCAUACUUUAAACCCUUGAAUAUUAGCACCUCUUCUUUUUCGUCUUUAUCCUUUUGACUCCUUGACGUAGUUGGCCUAUUGAUGGAAAACGAAAUGGGUUUGUUGAGGUUAGCAAUUGGGAAUACUUUGUUUGCUGGCUUGAUGUUUGUUACAACCACUUUUCCUUCUCUGCCCUUUCUUGUUGGCCUACAGUUGAUCCAUGGGAUGGCUGCUGGCGCGUAAUCAUAACCCAUCUUCUUCGUAUCCAAACAGUCUCCUACCCUCACACGGUAAGGGUUUUUGUUUUCAUCAUAGAAAAAGAAUUCGGAGUUCAACCAAUCUGGAUCUAUGAUAUCCCUUCUUUUCCCGCAUAGUCCUUUCCAUACUUUCCACAUUCGGUCCACAUUGGCGUGGUGGCAAUAGAAAACCGGGUCUAAAGCGGCUGAGUAGAAAUUACCCAUAUCUUCACCUAAUGACAGUUUACCACCACCCAAAUACGGACGUGUGGAUUACGUCUUGCAUCAUAAAGGGGAGUAUUUGCACGAUCGAACAUGGGAGGUAAACGCAUACCUUUUGGAUGGUCCCAAUUCCAAUAAGGUAAAGCGAAAGUUGGAUCAUCAAUGAGUUUUCCCAAUAUUCUGUCGUAGAAAAAUAAGUACCAUCUAUGGAACGGGAAGAAAAGCCAUGAUUGAUGAACUUGUAAAAUUUCAUCACCGAAUUUGUAAGCACCAUUGCAAUAAGCACAAUGGAUGUUGGCUUGUUGCAUGAAUGAACGAGGAUCGUCUUUGUCUAGUUCCUUCAUUCUUUUAGUUUCCAAUUGGUACUUUGCUAUAUAUUCCUUAGUCACGUCUUGAGCAACAGGACGUUUACGGAGCUUAGACAUGGGAGGAAGAUUGUAAUAUGGAAUGUUGUUCAAGUCCUUUGGUGUAGGAGGGCAACAACUAUAUUCUACUAGAUCUUUACUCCCCGUUUUCGUGGCUUUACUACAUGAUUUCAGAUUAGGCGGCGGUAUAGGAGAAGAAAAGGCUAAUGGUGCAAGAUUGGAAGCACUGUAGAGCCCUCCUAAACCAAGAAGCACAUUUCUCCUAUCGAUAUUUGCUUUAAUAUUUUGGUCGUGCUCAUUAGCAUUGCAUGAGACGUGGAAACUUUGACUACGCCUUCUCUUCAACAAAUGCGGAGAAUAAGGUUUUGCAAAGAAUGAUGAGAGUGUUGUAUGUUGAGCAUAGUGAGACUGAUGAGCUGUUAUAUGAGUUAGUCAGAUUAAACAGUAAAUGUCAUGAAGUUAGUUAGCUGUUAGUUACUAGUUAAACUGUGGUUAGUUUAUAAUUAACAAGAUUAGAUGGUUAAAGUAGAUCCAAUUAUACACACUAUAUAUAGUGGUGUAGAUAUUUUGUUAAAAGAUAAUUCUGUACAGAAUAUUCAAUACAUUUUCUGUUUCUCUUCUUCUUAAUCACUGUUCUUCACAUUCUUAUCAUGGUAUCAGAGCUUCAGAUCCAUUGACGAUCUCCGUUUUUCAGUACAGUAGAUAGCUUGUUGCAUUGUAAAAAAGGCAGAUCGUGGAAAAUCUUGAAAUUUUAGUUUUACAACAAUGGCAUCUAAUCCCAAUCCAGAAAUCACUUCCAGUUCUAUGCAAGGAGGACAAAUUGUAUUCGAUGCACAUCAUCCCUUACAUCUUCAAGCUUGCGACACUCUAGGUAGUUCUUUGGUUUCUAUUCAGUUGACUGUAUCUGAAAAUUACGCUUUGUGGAGUAGAUCAAUGAAAAUAGGUCUACUAGGUAAAGGUAAAUUGGGAUUUGUUAAUAGCAAAUGCUCUAAGAGUUCAUUUCCUGCUUCACUUCAUGAUCUAUGGGAUAAAUGUAAUGCCAUAGUACUCUAUUGGAUCAUGAUAUCUAUUAUAAGUAGGGAGUUACUUAGUGGUAUAGUGUAUGCUAGCAAUGUUCAGCAGGUGUGGAAUGAUCUAAAGGAAAGGUUCGACAAAGUAGAUGGUUCUAGAAUUUUUUUUCUUCACAAAGAGAUUGCUACUAUGACUCAAGGAGUAUUAUCAGUUUCUAGCUAUUACUCUAAGCUGAAGGAGCUUUGGAUGGAGUUUGAUUCCCUUAUGCCUUGUCCUAGUUGUGCAUGUGAAGUGUCUAAGACCUAUGUUGUUCAUUUCGAAUAUCAGAGGUUAAUGCAAUUUCUUCUAGGGUUGAAUGAAUCAUAUAAUCAGUGUAGAAGUCAAAUCAUGAUGAUUGAUCCUACACCAGGUGUGAACAAGGCUUACUCAUUAGUAAUGGCUGAAGAGUGUCAGAGAGUACUUGGUAAAUCGAAUAUAGUAGGGACUGAAGGCACUAACUCUAUUAAUUCUAGGCAAUUGACUGAAGCAAUGGCAUUUUUCAGUAAUGGAAAGGGGUUUACUAGAUCAUGAGGACCUACAAAUCAGUCUGGAGGGUCUACUCAGUCUGGAGGAUCCACUCAGUAUGGAUCAAGUUUUAGACCUCAGAAAUCUCUUAACAACAAUUUGUAUUGUGAUUAUUGCAACUGGAAGGGCCACACUAGAGCUGUGUGUUUUAGAUUGCAUGGGUACCUUGCUAACUGGAAAGGUAAGAAGAGGACUAACCCUGGUCCUAUCACUGCUGCCAACCUUGUAAGAGCAAAUUCUCCUAGCAAUGGUAAUGCUAGUUUCAUGGAUUUUCAGUCUAGUUCAGGGUUUCCUGGUCAAGUUUUUACUACUGGGAACAGUUCAGGCAACUAUCAGAUUCAUCAACCUCCUUCGUUAUUAGGAAGUACUUCCUACUCAAAUUCUUCCCCUGCUCUUAUGACUAACAUACAGCCCUACCAGUAUCAGACUACACAGUGGCCAUAUCUAGUGCAGCAGCCAUCUCCUCAUCAAUACUUGCAAAUGCCACUGGAACUUAAAAAAACUACCAGUAAUGCUGCUGGAAGAGCAUCAGGUAUGUUAAACUGUUCUAUUUAUCCAAAUGUUGUUGACAAAUGGAUAGUAGAUUCAGGAGCCUCCAAGCAUAUGGUCAAUGCUCUUCACUUGUUAACUUACUCUAUUACUCUUCAUGAUUCCCUUGAGGGUAAAGUACACUUACCUACUGGUAGUUUAGCUAAGGUCAGUCAUAUUGGUUGUUCUCAGAUACUUGGAGGGAUUGAGAUCACCAAUGUACUGUAUGUUCCUGAGUUCAAGUAUAACUUGCUCUUUGUGCCAAAGUUAACUAAGGAGUUGAAUUGCUGUGUUCUUUUCUAUCCUGAUCACUGUGUAUUUCAGGAUCUCUCCAGUGGAAAGGUGAGGGGGAUUGGCAAGUUGGAGAAUGAUUUGUAUGUUCUUCAGGCUGAUUGUCAAUUGAAGUCACCAGCAACAGUUUCUUUGUCAUCAGCUUAUGCAGUUUCCACUCCUACAUCAUGUGUCUCAUCACCUCCUAUAGCUCUUGUUAACAAGAAUGUCUCUCUAUGGCAUAAAAGGCUGGGCCAUGUUCCAUUUACUACUCUUAAAAUGCUUGGAUGUUUCAAAUCAUUGUCGUCCAAGUCUGAUACACUUUGUACUGUAUGUCCUUUAGCUAAACAAUCAAGACUUUCUUUUCCAUUGAGCAGUAUCACAACUACUACUUGUUUUCAUACUUUACAUGCUAUGGGGUCCUUAUAGAGUGCCUACUCAUGAUCAUAAAAGUUAUUUUCUCACGAUUGUGGAUGAUUGUUCCCGAUAUAAUUGGUUAUUUUUGUUAAAUUCCAAGUCUGAAGUAAUUGUAGAGCUUAGAAAUUUUCUUGCAAUGAUCAGGAAUGUAUUUUCUGCCAGUAUAAAGAUUUUAAGGACUAAUAAUGGGUGUGAGUUUUUUAACUCGCAAGUGGCUUCUUUACUCCAGUCACUAGGUAUUCUUCACCAAAGUUCUUGUAUCUACACUCCACAACAAAAUGGAGUCGUCGAACGAAAGCAUAGACAUAUUUUAGACACAGCCAGAGCACUGAGAUUUCAGGCUAGUUUGCCACUCAGAUUCUGGGGAGAAUGUGUUCUUACCAGUGUAUAUCUCAUCAACAGAAUUCCCUCUCAAGUUCUUAAAGGGAAGACUCCGUAUGAUGUUUUAUUUCAAUCAUCACCACCCCUUGAUAACUUAAGGGUGUUUGGAUGCCUUGCUUUUGCUAUAGAAGUCAGAAAAGUGAAUAAAUUUGCCUCCAGAGCAGCUCCUGCUGUUUUUCUUGGUUAUUCAGCAUUGCAAAAGGGAUACAUAUUAUAUGCCCUGCACACUAAGGAGUUUUUCGUGAGUAGAGAUGUGGUGUUUAAGGAGGAUAUCUUCCCAUUUCAGUCUAUGCAUUUAGAUAUAUCUCCCCUAUUUCCUGUUUUGCAGUCUAUUGAGUUGUGUGACUCAACUCCUUUAUGCUUUCAUGUUGCUCCUACUGUAACUGAUAGAAGUUCCUCUGGUAUUACUCUUGCAUCUGAGCAUGCUGAACAUGCUCCUGUAGCUCUUACUGAUGAGCCAGCUCAAGUUCUAGUUCCUUCUAUUGCUGAUCCUUCUAUUUCCCCUACUGCAUCUCUUCCUAGUAGGAGAUCUUCUAGAAACAUCAAACCACCUUUUUGGAUGCAUGACUUUAUUACUACUCAGCCUAAGUCUAAAUGCUUGUAUCCAAUGUCAAAUCAUGUUAGUUAUGCCCAUCUUUCUGGUGUCUAUGGAGAAGCUUUAGCUGCUUAUUCUAGUAUUAUUGAACCUACUUCCUUUGCUGAGGCUGCUGGUCAUCCUAAAUGGGUAGAGGCUAUGAGAUCAGAAAUUGCAGCAUUAGAAGAUAACCACACUUGGAGUCUUACUGAGUUACCUCCAGGGAACCAACCUAUUGGAUGCAAGUGGGUCUUUAAAGUUAAAUAUCUCACCUCAGGUGCUGUUGAAAGGUAUAAGGCCCGACUGGUUGCAAAGGGUUUUAGUCAAAAAGAGGGCUUAGAUUACUCAGAGACUUUUUCUCCUGUUGCCAAAAUGGUUACCGUAAGAUCAGUCUUGGCUGUGGCUGCUGCCAGACAUUGGUCUGUGUUUCAAAUGGAUGUGCACAAUGCAUUUUUGCAGGGUGAUCUUCCUGAGGAUGUCUAUAUGGUUAUACCACCUGGUUUUUGCAGACAGAGGGCGACUGGCAAAGUCUGCAAACUUCACAAAUCCUUAUAUGGUCUAAAACAGGCACCAAGACAAUGGAAUCUUAAACUAACUGAAGCUUUAGUUCAGUUGGGAUUUGUUCAAAGCCAUUAUGAUUAUUCCCUUUUUACCAAGAAAGUAAAUAAGGAGUUGAUAGUGGUGCUUGUGUAUGUAGAUGAUCUACUUGUGACUGGCAGCUGUAGUAACUUGAUUGUGCAGACUAGAAAUGAUCUUAAACUCAAGUUCAAAAUGAAGGAUCUGGGAGAACUAAAAUUCUUCCUUGGUAUUGAAUUUGCUAGGUCUAAGGAGGGGUAUGUAAUGAGCCAGCGCAAGUAUGCCUUGGAGUUGAUAUCUGAGAUGGGUUUAAGUGGAGCCAAACCAGUGUCUACACCUCUGGAUCCUAAUCUUAAGCUAACAUCCAUUGAGUAUGAUUUACACGUGCAAGGAUCAGGAACUACUAUAUCAGACAGGCCCUUAAAGGAUGUUGGCAGAUACCAAAGAUUAGUGGGAAGGUUGUUGUACUUAACUAUGACCAGAGUUGAUAUCUCAUUUGCAGUACAGACAUUAAGUAAAUUUAUGCAUGCUCCUAAAGAAUCCCAUAUGGAAGCUGCUCUAAGGGUGGUCAAAUAUAUCAAGACAGCUCCUGGACUUGGUUUGUUUAUGCCUGCUCAAAGUUCAGAACUUCUGACUGUAUAUUGUGAUUCAGACUGGGGUACUUGUGUAUAAACAAGAAAGUCUGUAACUGGAUAUUUAGUAAAAUUUGGAGAUGCACUUAUCACCUGGAAAUCAAAAAAGCAAGAGACUGUUGCCAGAAGCUCUGUUGAAGCUGAGUUCAGGAGUAUGGCUUCAGCAGUUGCAGAAAUAACUUGGCUAAUUGGAGUGUACAAGGAACUAGGGGUGACUAUCAAACAACCAGUGGAUCUAUUCUGUGACAGCAAGGCUGCAAUACAAAUUGCAGCCAAUCCCAUUUUUCAUGAAAGAACUAAACACUUUGACAUUGAUUGUUACUUUGUCAGAGAAAAACUAACUCAGGGUAUGAUUAAGACUCAUCAUGUAUCCACCAGAGAUCAGUUAGCAGAUCUUCUUACAAAAGGGUUAUGGAAGGCUCCUCAUCUGCACUUAAUGGCCAAGCUGAGUUUAAAAGACAUCUUUCAGCCAUCAGCUUGAGGAGGGGUGUUGAGCAUAGUGAGACUGAGGAACUGUUAUAUGAGUUAGUUAGGAUGAACAGUAAAUGUCAUGAAGUUAGUUAGCUGUUAGUUACUAGUUAAACUGUGGUUAGUUUAUAAUUAACUAGACUAGAUGGUUAAAGUAGAUCCAAUUAUACACACUAUAUAUAGUGGUGUAGAUAUUUUGUAAAAGAUAAUUCUGUACAGAAUAUUCAAUACAUUUUCUGUUUCUCUUCUUCUUAAUCACUGCUCUUCACAUUCUUAUCAUUGUAGUAGUGAGAGUUUUGCUACUCUGGUCAUCAAGACUUAAACAGAUAGAAUUAAUGGAAGAUGAAGAAGCCAUUGAGUGAUUGUUGUGAUUCGUAUCAUCUAUUAAAUAAAAGUGAAUAAAAUAAUCAUAAAGUUACAUAAAAACAAAAAAACAAAAGCUAUUGCAUUUCUGACCUUACGUGUCCACAUAAGACAUGACAGUAUGCUAAAAUAUAAUGUCACCAACAAAAAAGAUAAACAAGAAAGAUAAUGAAAACCCAUAAAAUAAGUACUACUAAUAAGAGAUAAUAAAAAUGAACAAGGAUUAUGUGGAUUUUAUUUUUACUGAAUGGUUAUGAAUUAUAAUUCUGUAAAGACUUAAUUGUAUCCUCAAAGAAAUUGUAAGUGUUAUAAAUUGUAAUAUUGUAAAUAUCUAUCUUGUAUGUUGCUUUGAGAAAAGUUUGAGACUAAAUGAAGGAACAUUUUAGAAAUAUAUUAUUAUCUAACUUCUUUUGCAAAUGUAUAGCUCAAAACUUACAUUAUAAAUAUUUAGCCCAAAACACAAUUCGGUAUAUAAUAUUAUAUAUUUAGUAUACUUUAAUAUACAAAUUUAUAUUUUAUUUUUUACAAAACUAUUUAAAAACUUGAUUUACACUAUUAUACACUCAAUAUAUAAUAUUAUACAAAAUCAUAAGAGAUAUUUGUACAUCCAUAUACAAUAAUAUAUCACAAAAUAUAAAAUUAUAAGAGAUAUUUAUACACUCAUAUAAAAUAAUAUAUGUUAUCAUGUAAAAUACGAAUUUCGUCUUUUUUCUUGAAUCCAAGCAUUUGAUUCAUCCAAAAGCACCUCUAAACUACAUCAAAUCAUCCAAAAUUUCAUUUUAGGCUCCUCAAUACACAUUCAAUCUUUUGCAACAAUAUCCACUCGAAUUGGAGCUUAUUUGCGAAAAUUCAAUUUUCAAAUUUUGAAGCUUCGAUUUUCAACAUUAGAUGUCUGUGCCUCCAACGAAAUGUCAAUUCUCCUUAAUAGUAACUCCCAUAACGGAGAUAAAAUAAAGAUUUAAUUUAAAAUUUCUCUAAGACUAGGUACCAUUAUCAAUCACUCAGUUAUACACAUAUAUGAGACAUUCAUUUCACUCCAAAAAAAGCAAAACAAACAAAUCUGUUAUUUACUGUCACCAUAGUUGAGAGAGAGAGAGAGAGAGUGUUUUGGGUGUGCAGGGAAGAGAGAUAUUGUUAGGUUAGUGGCUAAAUUUGGGUAAGUUUAAAUAGCUUGUCUAUUUUGACAAUGUAUUUGGAAUUUGGAUCAAUGGUACUUUGAAGUAAUUCUCUCUAUAAAUAAAGAAAUUUUCUUUUAUUAUAAUCAAUCUUCAAGAAAAAAUAAGAAGUGUUGUUUCUUCUCGCUACUAUAUUCUUUUUCUUCUUUUUAUUUUAUAGUUUUAUAACAUAUUGUCAAUAUAAAUCUCAUAAACUAAAGUUGAUUUUAAUUUUAUAAAGGGAAAAGGGUCUGAUAUAUCCCUCGUUAUAAAAGUGGCUUAUAUAUAUCCUUAUCAUUAUACAAAUGACUCACAUAUAUCCCUACCGUUACAAAAGGAGUUCACAUAUACCCUUUAUCUAACAGAAGUGAAAAAAUUAGUUUUAAAUUUAUAUUUUUACUCUUACUUUUAAAAAAAUCAUGUAGGGUGUUCAAGGUAUAUUUUCAUCCUUUUCAUACAUAAAUUAUUUUUUGACUUCUUCGAUUAUCAUUAUUUGAGUUUCUUGUUCUUAUUUUAUUUUUUUCUUUCAUUUUUGGCUAUAUUAUAAUUUUAAACUAUUUUUUUCCGGUUAUAUUGUAAUUUAGUUUUUGUAUUUAUAUAUAAAAAAAAGAGGCAUCUACGAUAGAUUUUUACAAGAAAAUUAGUGAAACAUAAAUAAAUAUAACCACCAAAAUAAUAAAUUUAAAUUAGUCGUUAAAACAAAAAAAAAGUCAAAAAAAUAAGGUGCGAGGAUGAUUAAAUAUGCCCCAUAUGGAUUACAUAUAUAUUUUUUAAAAAUAAUUAAAAAAUUAAAUUAAAAUUAUCUUUUUCACUUCCGUUAGAGGAAAAAGAUAUAUGUGAGUCAUUUGUAUAACAGUAGAAGUAUAUAUGAGCCACUUUCAUAACACAAGAUAUAUCAGCGCUCUAAAUAACAAAAUUGAAAGAUAUAUCAGACUUUUUUUUCCUUUUAUCAAUCAUCAAAACACAAAUCACAUGUGAUACAAACAUGACUGGGAUAAAUAAUUAUCUUCCGUGCAAUAAAACAGAUGCUUUGAAUUAUUAUUUUUUACUCCAAUAAAUAGUACUACUAUAUUUUAUCUAGUUUUUAAAUACAUUUUCGAUUCAAUUUAUUUAUCUUAGUCAUUGUGUAUAUAUAUUUAGAAAUUGCAAGCAUAUUUUCAAUGUUAUAACAUUUUUAAAUACUUUCUAAAUAUUUUAGAUUGUUAAUCAUGGUAAGUUGUAACAUAUAAUAAUUUUAUCUAAUUUUAAAGUAUACAAAAAAUAGAAAAUUAUAUACCAAUUUUAUACCAAACAUUAGUUAAUGUGACCGUUGUCUCUCUCAAAAUAUCUCUACGGGCCUCGCCCACCUACCACCACACAUCUUAAUUUUUGAGUUUGGACCUUUUUGGCAGAUAAAAAUCAUAUUCAUUUUCCACUUUAAAACACACACAGACACAAAUAAUAAAUAAAGAAAACCUAUUGAAUUUUAUUUUUUUGUAGGAUUUAGGUUUACUGGUGAGAUCGAUUGAUUUGGUUCGCUUUUAUGUAGAAUUGGUUAAGUUUAUUAAUUUUAAAUUUAUAAAUAUGUUAAAUUGAUAAUCAUAUUAAUUAUCAAUUUUCAGUCAAUCCAUUUCGAAUCUAAAUAUACAAAUUAAUGUUCUAUUUAACUCACCCUCCUCUAAUUUGUUUUACAUUUUUAUUUUUAUGAAAUAAAUGUCAAAAACACACCUACACUAUCCCCUUUUUUUUAUUUUCAUACCCAAACUAUUGGAAGUGUGAGUUUCAUACUUAAACUAUCACUUAUUAGUUCGAGAAACACAUCUCAAUGGUGUGUGUAAUACACUCUCUUUUAUUUGAAAAAACCUUAACACAUGACAUGCCACAUGGAUAAAAUAUUUCACAUUGACUAAAAUUAAAUAAUAAACUAUUAAUAUUAAUUAAAAAUUAAAGAUUAAAGUACUACUAUCCCAAAAAAUAUAAUUUUUUUAAAAAUAAAAUUUAAAUUAUUUUUCUUAUCCCACUCCACUACCUCCUCCCCGUACCCCAAUAAUCCCCCAUCCANNNNNNNNNNNNNNNNNNNNNNNNNNNNNNNNNNNNNAGUUUAUACCCAAACUAUUGGAAGUGUGAGUUUCAUACUUAAACUAUCACUUAUUAGUUCGAGAAACACAUCUCAAUGGUGUGUGUAAUACACUCUCUUUUAUUUGAAAAAACCUUAACACAUGACAUGCCACAUGGAUAAAAUAUUUCACAUUGACUAAAAUUAAAUAAUAAACUAUUAAUAUUAAUUAAAAAUUAAAGAUUAAAGUACUACUAUCCCAAAAAAUAUAAUUUUUUUAAAAAUAAAAUUUAAAUUAUAAAAUUGGUAUUAUUUUAUUUUUAAAAAAAAAAAAUUCUACCUCAUCAUAUUAACCCUCUGUUCUUACUUUAUUUAUUUAUCUUAAAUUUUUCUCGUUUUGUGUUACAUAUGUAUAUAUAUAUUUUUAGGAUUUUUUUCUACUUGUGUACCGAAUAUAACAUAAAUAAAAAUUUUAUUUUAAAAAAAGUCUUGUGACGGCAAAUAAAAAAUAUUUUUGAUAUGUAUAUCUAACACAAAACGAGAAAAUUUUUUGGAAGCGGAGGGUUAUGUGGAGUGGGUAGAGUUAUUAUUAUUAUUUUUUAAAAUAAUAUCUAAAUUAGUAUUUGUGGGGGGGGAGGGGGGGGUCGGACGGUUAGAGGAAGUGAUGGAGUGGAUAAGAAAAAUAUUUUACAUUUUAUUUUAUAAAUUUUUUUUUUUUUUGGAUAAUAAUUUUUUAAUCUUUCAUUUUAACUAAUAUCAUUAAUUUAUUUAUUUUUUGUCAAGGCGAAAUGUUUUGUCAUCUGGAGUGUGAUGUGACAAUUUUUUUUAAAUAAAAGAGAGUGUAUUACAUACACCAUGAUGAGAGUGGUAUAAAAGAGAGAGAUGUGUUUCUCAAACUAAUAGGUAAUAGUUUAGGUAUGAAAUUCACACUCUCAAAAAUUUAGGUAUGAAACUAAAAAAAAGGAGAUAGUUUAGGUGUGUUUUUGACGCUUAUCUUUAUUUUUAUUCAUAUAUACACUACCUUCAUGCGUAAAGCUGUCAAAAAGGGCCGGCCCAGCCCAGCACCCAGUCCAAGCCUCGCGAGCCAGGGAAUUUGUAGGGGUAAUGAGGGCCGGUCCAGCCCAAGCCUCGCGGGCCAAGGAAAUUGAAGGGCUAGUGCGGGCCGAGGGCAAUGGCAGGCUAGCCAUUCUUUUUUUUCACUUUUUUCUUUUCAAACUUAUGUUCUAUAACAUCAAAAAAAUGAGAAGAUUUUCAAAUCAAAUAUGGCAAACUAUGGUGUUGUCUCAAUAACACUAACGAAAAAUCUAGUGUAAUUAGCAUAUAUCUCUCAUACCAAAUACUCGAGCGAGAUAAGAAAGUGACAAGCAAGAUGGGAGGGAGGCAAGGGCACGAGAUUUGUCUAUGUAUCCUAGAUACAUGCGAAUCUACUUGGAUAGAGUAUAUCUAGAACAAAUUAACCUAGUUUUGAGUCUAUAUAUUCCGAGAUACAUGUAUUUGGACGUACCAAUCUAGUAAGAUUUAUAAUAUUACAACAUAAGUAUAUUUAAGUAAUUAGAUUAUAUAUUAGUGAGAUUAUUGUAAAUUACCUUUAAAUAAAAAGUUUUGGCCCAUGGACCGACUCCGCCACGAUCCCGAUUAAGCCUCAAGGGAAAAGGGCUUAUAUGGGCCGGGCUUAUAAGCCCUAGUUUUAAAUAGGCUUGAAAAAUUAUAUUCCAACCCUACCCCAAUAACGGGUUGGAUUGGACCGGCCCCAUGGGCUAAACCCAUUUUGACGGCUCUAUUCCUGCGUAAAAGUGUGCAUAAUUACAAGUAAAAAUAAAUUCAAAUUCGUUAAUGCUAAAGUAAAUUAGUUUUCUUAAUUUCUUGUUAAGUAGCACCGUAUCAAUUUAUCAAAAUGAAAAAUAACACACCAAACAAAUGAAUUUAGAAAGAAGACAAUAACACCAAGUCAACAACUAUAAAAAUCCAAAAGAAAAUAGGAUCUGCAUUUAAAAUUUAAAGUCAUUAUUAUAUAGUUAAGGAUACAAACAUAAUUUUAAUAUAAUCUUAUUGAAUUAUGGAUUUAUCAUUAACAAAAAUUUUAAACUGAAAAUUGAAUUAGUAACCUAACCAAAAAAAUACAAAACCAUUUCAAAACUAUUUAACUCAAUAUCGAUAAAUUAAUAAUAUUACAGUUUUAACGGAUUAUUGCGUUAUGCAUUAUUAAAAACUAAAGCCGAAAUAACUGGACAAUUUAUUAUUAUUUUUAUAAAACUAUUUAAAAUUCGUUAAAUAAUAACAAUGAUUCAAUAACAUUUCUUUUUAUUCAAUUUGUUGAUCGGCUUAGGUCCCCCACCACCAACAUGAAUGUGAUUUCAUGUUUUGUCCAUUCUUUCUGUCCGCAUUUACUUUUUUCGCAUUUAUUACUCCCUCAUAUAAAAAAGUGACUUUUAGUGAUAAUUAAUUUUUCUUUUAGCGGUAAUAUUUAUUGCUAUAAAUACAUUUAUCAGUAUUUGAUUAAAUGUCAUUGGACUCAAUGUCGUUAAAGUCUUUAGGGUUUAGAGUUUAGGAUUUAGGGUAAAGACCCUUAUUAUUGCCACUAAAAGUAAUUACUUUUAGUGACAUUUAUUUAGCGGCCUAUACUAUUGCCAUUAAAGCUACCUUAGAUAUAUAGAGAAUUUCACAUCGUUUUUUCAAGCUAAAUAUAGAAGAAAACAAAAUCUGCUAUAUAUAUAUAGAGAGAUUUUUUUAGCUAUGUUUUCCUCAAAGCUAUACGAAGCUAAUUAAAUCAAACUCAAGUUUAUCUUGCUGGGUGCUUACCAAUGAGAAUGAGAGAUUGAGAGAUCGAGAAAGAGAGAUCGAGCGGAAAGAAAGAAAAAGAGAAAUUACCUCUUGUUGCGUGCUUCAGAUCGAGCAUGAAGAAACACAAAUCGAUUUGUGCUUCAAAUCAAAUCCAUCAUAGCCAUGGAAGGAAGCUUCAAAUCAAUCCAGAGCUUCAGAUGAAAACACGGCGUGUUUUUACUUUUAAUAGAUCAAAAGAAAAACAUAAAAAAAAAUCAUAUUUUAUCCUUAAUAUUAAUUAAUUGCUUAUUCCUUAAAUUAUUUCUUAAGAUUAUAUAUAUAUAUAUUCAAAAAAUAAAUAUUACUAAAGAGAAACAACACGAAUAAACUCGAUCUAUUUUGUUUUUCAAUGUUGCGUGAUAUUUCUAAGAUGACAAGUAACAAUUAUCAGUUGUGUGACCAUUAUUGUACUGUGGAUGGAACUGUUCAUUUCUCAAUUAAUUAAAAGUUUUUAGUUUUGAGUAUGUAAAAAUCUCCGAAUAGAGGUUAUGCCGUGCGGAUCCAAAUUAGUCAGCUCGGAUGAAAAAAAAUAAUAAUAAAUCAGUUGCGGCUUUCACGUUUGUACUAGGCCAAUAGCAUGAAUUUUCUACAUAAAUAGUGAUGAAACGCUGCACAGCAAAAACACUCAUCCCAACAAUGGCUUCUUCUAUUCUACCUUUGUGCACUACCAAUAUUCCCUCUUGUUUCUUAGCAAAACCCUCUCAGCUUUUCCUCCACGGAAGGCGUAGUCAAAGUUUCAACGUCUCAUGCAACGCUAAUAACAACUCUAGCGAGCAUGACAAAAAUAACCUUGAUGACGAUGUUGUUGAUAGGAGAAAUGUUCUUUUAGGGUUAGGAGGUCUUUAUGGUGAUGCUAAUCUUGCACCAUUAUCCACUGCUGCUCCCUCACCACCACCUGAUUGUAAAACUUGUAGUACAGCCACUAUAACUAAUGGUCCAGUUCCUUAUAGUUGUUGCCACCCUCCUAUCCCCGUAGAUAUGAGCACCCUUCCAUAUUACAAAUUCCCUCCUAUGAACAAGCUCCGUAUCCGUUCUCAUCUUCCUGAUGAGGAGUAUAUUGCCAAGUACAAUUUGGCAAUUACUCGAAUGAAAGAUCUUGAUAAGACAACCUUUAAACCCUCUUGGGUUUAAGCAACAAGCUAAUAUACAUUGUGCUUAUUGUAACGGUGCUUAUAAAAUUGGUGGCAAAAAGUUACAAGUUCAUAAUUCAUGGCUUCGUCAAGGACUCAAGUUUAUUAUCUUUCUCCACUUGAGUCCUUAACUGAGGUACAACGUAAUUAUUAACAUAAAUAUAAGGAAAAAAGAACGAGUGCUAAGAAUGAUUGCUAACAAGUUUAUGUUAAAGGAAAUGAGCACCCACAACCUUUAAAUCCUGGAUCCGCCACUGAGUUUUAACUCCGAAUGUUGUACUUGUUUUGACUUUUUCUAUUCUUAAUUAGUUUAGGCUGACUAACUUUUUCUUUCUUUUUUAUUUUUAACUUUUCCUAUGCUAAAGUAUUGGUCAAGUCAGAUAUGCAUCAAACUUGACCACUUGUUUAUUUGCUUAUCAAGUUGUUUACACUAUGUGAUUGCUAACAGGUUUAUGUUAAAGGUUUACACUAUGUGAUUGCUUAACAGGUUUAUGUUAAAGGAAAUGAGCACCCACAACCUUUAAAUCCUGAAUCCGCCACUGAGCUUUUACUCCGAAUGUUGUACUUGUGAAGCCAUGAAUUAUGAACUUGUAACUUUUUGCCACCAAUUUUAUAAGCACUGUUACAAUAAGCACAAUGUAUAUUAGCUUGUUGCUUAAACCCAAGAGGGUUUAAAGGUUGUCAUAUCAAGAUCUUUCAUUCGAGUAAUUGCCAAAUUGUACUUGGCAAUAUACUCCUCAUCAGGAAGAUGAGAACGGAUACGGAGCUUGUUCAUAGGAGGGAAUUUGUAAUAUGGAAGGGUGCUCAUAUCUACGGGGAUAGGAGGGUGGCAACAACUAUAAGGAACUGGACCAUUAGUUAUAGUGGUUGUACUACAAGUUUUACAAUCAGGUGGUGGUGAGGGAGCAGCAGUGGAUAAUGGUGUAAGAUUAGCAGCACCAUAAAGACCUCCUAACCCUAAAAGAACAUUUCUCCUAUCAACAACAUCGUCAUCAAGGAUAUUUUUGUCAUGCUCGCUAGAGUUGUUAUUAGCGUUGCAUGAGACGUUGAAACUUUGACUACGCCUUCCGUGGAGGAAAAGCUGAGAGGGUUUUGCUAAGAAACAAGAGGGAAUAUUGGUAGUGCACAAAGGUAGAAUAGAAGAAGCCAUUGUUGGGAUGAGUGUUUUUGCUGUGCAGCAUUUCAACAAUAUUUAUGUAGAAAAUGCAUGGUACUGGCCUAGUACAAACGUGAAAGACGCAACUGAUUUUUUAUUAUUUUUUUUUAUCCGAGCUGACUAAUUUGGCAUAACCUCUAUUCGGAGAUUUUUUCAUACUCAAAACUAAAAACUUUUAAUUAAUUGAGAAAUGAACAGUCCCAUCCACAAUACCAUAAUGGUCACGCAACUGAUAAUUGUUACUUGUCAUCUUAGAAAUAUCACGCAACAUUGAAAAACAAAAUAGAUCGAGUAUAUUCGUGUUGUUUCUCUUUAGUAAUAUUUAUUUUUUGAAUAUAUAUAUAUAUAAUCUUAAGAAAUAAUUUAAGGAAUAAGCAAUUAAUAUUAAGGAUAAAAUAUGAUUCUUUUUUUUAUGUUUUUCUUUUGAUCUAUUAAAAGUAAAAACACGCCGUGUUUUCAUCUGAAGCUCUGGAUUGAUUUGAAGCUUCCUUCCAUGGCUAUGAUGGAUUUGAUUUGAAGCACAAAUCGAUUUGUGUUUCUUCAUGCUCGAUCUGAAGCACACAACAAGAGGUAAUUUCUCUUUUUCUUUCUUUCCACUCGGUCUCUCUUUCUCGAUCUCUCAAUCUCUCAUUCUCAUUGGUAAGCACCCAGCAAGAUAAACUUGAGUUUGAUUUAAUUAGCUUCAUAUAGCUUUGAGGAUAAUAUAGCUAAAAAAAAUCUCUCUAUUUAUAGCAGAUUUUGUUUUCUUCUAUAUUUAGCUUGAAAAACGAUGUGAAUUCUCUAUAUAUCUAAGGUAGCUUUAAUGGCAAUAGUAUAGGCCGCUAAAUAAAUGUCACUAAAAGUAAUUAUUUUUAGAGGCAAUAAUAAGGGUCUUUACCGGCAUUCGAUAUAAAUGUUACUAAAGGCUUUAACGAUAUUGAAUCCAGUGACAUUUAAUCAAAUACUGGUAAAUGUAUUUAUAGCAAUAAAUAUUAUUGCUAAAAGAAAAAUUAAUUAUCACUAAAGGUCACUUUUGAUGCGGGGAGUAAUAAAAGCGAAAAAAGUAAAUGCGGACAGAAAGAAUGGACAAAACAUGAAAUCACAUUUAUGUUGGUGGUGGGGGACCUAAGCCAAUCAACAAAUUGAAUAAAAAGAAAUAUUAUUGAAUCAUUGUUAUUAUUUAACGAAUUUUUAAUAGUUUUAUAAAAAUAAUAAUAAAUUGUCCAGUUAUUUCGGCUUUAGUUUUUAAUAAUGGAUAAAGCAAUAAUCCGUUAAAACUGUAAUAUUAUUAAUUUAUCGAUAUUGAGUUAAAUAGUUUUGAAAUGGUUUUGUAUUUUUUUUGUUGGGUUACUAAUUCAAUUUGUUGGGUUUUAAAGGUGUGAACAGGAAAUGAAGGGUUAUGACUCUCCUGAAGAGUUGUAAACUUUAUGAAAGGUUGUGUCCUUUCUAAAGGACUGUGACCGUUUGAAAGGUUAUGCCUUUUCCAAAGUGUUGUGACCUUUCUGAAAGGUUGUCUUCUUUCUGAAAGGUNNNNNNNNNNNNNNNNNNNNNNNNNNNNNNNNNNNNNNNNNNNNNNNNNNNNNNNNNNNNNNNNNNNNNNNNNNNNNNNNNNNNNNNNNNNNNNNNNNNNNNNNNNNNNNNNNNNNNUUCUUUUGCAUACAUUUCUUACAAAACAAAAUCGAUCGAUCGUGUCUGUGUGUGUGAUUCGUUGCUGUCAUUUUGAGUUCGUUGAAAUUAUCGAAGUUUGAGGUACCGCUACUUCUUUAAUGGUUAAUCCGUUUUAUCUUGGGAGGAAUUAAUCUGCAACCUCGGGUGUUUGAGGGGAUUAAAUUUCUUAAGGACACACAGUGGGUUCUGUGGACUCGGAUAGUUCUUUGUGUUUUUCCUUUCAUCUUUUAUUAUUUCUGGUUUGCUAAUCUGAAUAAAGGAGAUAACACAAUUUUCAGUUUUAAAAUUUUAGUUAAUGAUAAAUCCAUAAUUCAAUAAGAUUAUAUUAAAAUUAUGUUUGUAUCCUUAACUAUAUAAUAAUGACUUUAAAUUUUAAAUGCAGAUCCUAUUUUCUUUUGCAUUUUAUAGUUGUUGACUUGGUGUUAUUGUCUUCUUUCUAAAUUCAUUUGUUUGGUGUGUUAUUUUUCAUUUUGAUAAAUUGAUACGGUGCUACUUAACAAGAAAUUAAGAAAACUAAUUCACUUUAGCGUUAACGAAUUUGAAUUUAUUUUUACUUGUAAUUAUGCACACUUUUAUGGAGGAAUAGAGCCGUCAAAAUGGGCUUAGCCUAUGGGGCCGGCCCAAUCCUACCAGUUAUUGGGGUAGGGUUGGGUAGGUAAUGUGAUAAAAUACUUACAUCAAUAAUUAUUUGUUUAAUGGAAUUGUCAUAUCAAACAGUGACCAGGGGCGGAGCUAGGUGGAGUUCAUGGGUUCGGACGAACCCACUAGCUUUUUCGUAGACCUAUAUUUGUAUUAGAAAAUUAAAUAAACAUAUGUAUAUUAACUUGUGAACCCCCAAACAAAUUGAUUUAGAACCCCAAACUCCUAACAUUGGCUCUGUCUCUGACAGUGAAGUAAAAAUGAAGAAAGGAAACAUUUAGGUAUUCACAUUCUUUUCAAACAAGUUUCUCUAAAUGACAAAAAUCACGAGCAUUACCUUUAUGUUGUCCUUGCGUUGAUGGCAAGUCCCACACACAAGGGACCAGAUCAAAGAAGUAAACACAUACUUUCUUUCCAGAAAAAAGUUUUGAAAAUAUUUCUAAAUUUAGCAUGAAUUAUUAGUUUCAUCUUUAAAUUAUAGUUAGGCUUAAAAAUGUUUCUUUACUUGACUAACUGAAUUUAAGUACAUCAUCGAUCUUGCAGUAUGAGUGAAAUACACCUCUAAAUUCUCACCAAGUUUAGGGAUGUUGUCAAUGCUUCUCUCGAUUUUUUAUUAAGAGUCUUAUGCUCUUACAUGAGUUUAGGACUAUUUGCUAUGUCAUGUUGCCAAUCGAGAGUGUAUAUAAGUUUAAUUAGUCAAACAAAAGAAUAUUUUUAAGACUAUCAAUAAUUUCAUGAAUAAAACUAAUGAUUUACGCCAAGCUCAAGAUGUUUUCGAUAGUUCAAUACUUUUGUCCUUGAGUUGAUUGCGAAGAAGGUAGUCUAGGACUACCCUAAGCCUAGAAGAGAAGUAGGCAGGACUUUCAGUUACAAUAAUGUCUAGGUUGGGCAAGCCUCAAAGGCGGCCCCUUUCUUUCCUCGGACCGAUGACUCGCUUGUUCAGUACUGCUAACUAUUAUAGGAGGUCCCACACACAAGGAACCAGAUCAAAGAAGUACACACAUAGUUUCUCACGACCAUAAAAUUGAAUAAAACGAGUAUUGAACUAUGAGUCCUUAAAUAAAGGUUUUAUCAACUCCAAGGUAAUGUAUUGCAAAUACAUGGCUGACCUUUUAUCAAGUAGAAUUAAUUUUUAAUUUUAGAUUACUAUAUGAGGUUAAAUAAAGGUUUUAUUAUGUCAUCUAAAAAUACUAUAUUCAAAGCAAUAAGUACAUAAAAAAAAUAUAACUCUAAUUUAUUUAUUUUUUAGUGGAUGUGUAUAUAGUUAAGACUUCGUAUUAAAAUUUUAUUUAUGCCACUAAUUUUAUUGAGACGCUCAAUUAUUUGAAUUUCCAAAUAGUAGUCUUGACAAUAUGCAUAAAAAUAUGAUAUUCUUGAUAAUUACUUUAAGUACCUGAGUAUUUCUAACUUUAUAUCAAGAGGAGUUUAGAAACGAUGCAUGCGUAAUUAUCUGUCCGAAUACAUAUGUAACUUUUUAAACCUGUAUGUAUUAGUAGUAAUUAUAUUGUCAUCCCUACAACCUUUAACCAUAAUUUAGCUAAUUGCAUGAACUGUGAUUUUUUUUUCCUUUUAUAGAAACCAUCCGCCAAGAUUUGAUCACCUUUUCGGGGGUGAAGGUUUGGUCUGGAACCCUACCUUAUGUAUUUUUUAAACAAAAGAAUAAAAGAAGGGAUCAAACAUUACCUCUCGUUACAAGGGAAUAUGAAGGAAGGGGGAAAAAACUUCAAUUUAAAGAUAGCUAAGAUAGACAAAAGACUCUAUCAUUUAUGUAAAAUGGAGAGAUAUUCAGAGUUUGAUUACACAAUUUAUUCUCAAUUUUAAAACUAAGCAGCAUCUCCCUAAAUCAAAACAAAAUGAAUGAUCAGAGAAGAUUAAAAGUCCAACAUUUUUGUUGCCAAUAAAUUAAAUAAAAUUACUUCUAAAAGUCAUAUUUUUAAUAAAUAUUAAUUUGUGAUAGUUAUUACAUAUAAUGACCACAGUAAAUAUUUUAAUUUCCUUUUUAGCAUUCAUUUUUGUUGUCAGUAAAUGUAAAUAAUUGUCUCUAGAAGGCCACUAGAUUUAACAAGUAUGGUUUAGACACUAAUGACAAUGGCUACUAAAUUCUUUUAGAAAAAUGAUCUAAGUUGCUAAUAAAUUUAAUCAAAAUGUUAGUAAAAGGGAGCCUUUUAGUGGCAGCAAAAUUUAGAAAAUGCUAAAAAAAUAAAUAUAAAUCACUAUUAAUUCAUAAAAACAUAAUAUGUCCCUUUAGCUCUAACAAACAAAAGAAAAUACUAAUCCAAAAUGUUACUGUAACAAGGUUAACAACGGUGAAAAUAAAUCUUUGACAUUUAAAAAUGCAUAUUUUCAUAAGAUGAAAAAUAUGUAUUAAUGGAACAUUUACUCAUAGUUAUCACAUUAUUUAGUGAAAUCAUACUUACGAACGUAUGUUAGUUAAAAAGGAGGAAAGUAAUAAAAAGGGCAAUAAAAAUGUAGUUCAUAUAGAAUACAUAUGCAUCCUAUUAAUACAUGAAUCAUAGUAAUUAGUUGUAAUGCAAAAAACAUUUUACAAUAAAAAUCUCUACAUAAGUUCUCAGUUAAUCCUGACAAAAAAAAUACCAAAGUCUUUCGAUGCAUGAAGAAUUAUUAUUUUCAUUUCAAAUAUUGGAAGUGCGUUAUAAUUACCUGAAUAUAUAAAUGUUUUGAAAAUUAAUACUCCAAUUUAAGAAUAUGAAUGGAGUCUCUCGAUGUCUCUAAAUACUCCUGAAUUGAAUUUCUCUAGAUACAAGUGACAGAUAUCAUUUUAUUAAAUGAUUUGAAUUUAAAUUAAAUAAAUCCAUAUUGUUAACUUUUUAAUACUAACAGUAUAUAAAAUAUAAACUCAAAAAAUAAGGGUGCAAAACUACAAAGUUAUAAAUGCACAAUAAUGCCAAUAACUUAAAUCUGAAAUAUGUGAAAUUUAUGAAAAAAAAUAUAGAAAAAGUUACAUGAAUUGUCAAACAUAGAUAUUUUUGCGACAAUUAAUUUAUAAAAAAGAUUACACAGGAUAAAGAGAAUACGUGAGAGAUUCGAACAAACAUUAAUGAUAAUUCAACCCUCGAGAAAUUCAAUGGCCACACUUUGGAUGGAGAUCACAUCUCCACCGUUUUUAGGAACCACAGUUACCGUAAUGGUAUCAUCGUCUUCAAGUCCAAUGUCCUCUAAAAGUUUGGUAAUGUCUAGCUGAAACGUCUCACCAUAAUCCAUUUUCUUAUUAUGUGCAUGAACAUGGGGCAAGUUGGCAUAGCUCCCCGCGAACUCCACCUUAUCAAGCUCAUUUGUAUAAUUGUAUUCACGUUCUCUUCCUCGUUGAGGAACACAUCAAAACUUAUAUAUUUGCUAGUAUCAUACUUUAAACCCUUGAAUAUUAGCACCUCUUCUUUUUCGUCUUUAUCCUUUUGACUCCUUGACGUAGUUGGCCUAUUGAUGGAAAACGAAAUGGGUUUGUUGAGGUUAGCAAUUGGGAAUACCUUGUUUGCUGGCUCAAUGUUUGUUAAAUCCACUUUUCCUUCUCUCCCCUUUCUUGUUGGCCUACAGUUGAUCCAUGGGAGGGCUGCUGGCACGUAAUCAUAACCCAUCUUCUUCGUAUCCAAACAGUCUCCCACUCUCACACGGUAAGGCCUUUGGUGUUCAUCGUAGAAAAAGAAUUCGGAGUUCAACCAAUCUGUGUCUGUGAUAUCCCUUUUUUUCCCGCCUAAUCCUUUCCAUAUAUUCCACAUUGGCGUGGUGGCUAUAGAAAACCGGGUCUAAACUUCACCGAAUGACAGUUUACCACCACCCAAAUCUGUAUUUCUGACAGUACCAGCCCAAAUGUGGACCGAAGUAUGAGGGAUGUUUUCAAUAGUUCCCAGAUCAUUAUUCUCAAGGACGUAACGAGCACCAAAGAAUUGCAAAGGGCAUGCAGCAUUAGUUAUCAUUGAACGGUACAUAAGAGUUAAGUUGUUAGUCACCGUCUUUUUAACAUCAGUAGUAACUUCGUCACUAGGAGAACUAAAAUCGAUUAUGGUUCCAUUUCCACACGUCUUGCAUCAUAAAGGGGAGUAUUUCACGAUCGAACAUGGGAGGUAAACGCAUACGCUUUGGAUGGUCCCAAUUCCAAUAUGGUAAAGCGAAAGUUGGAUCAUCAAUGAGUUAGUUUUCCCAAUAUUCUCUCGUAGAAGUACAAGUACCAUCUAUGAAACGGAAAGAAAAGCCAAUUGAAAUGAACUUGUAAAACAUCAUCACCAAAUUUGUAAGCACCGUUGCAAUAAGCACAAUGGAUAUUGGCUUGUUGCAUGAAUGAACGAGGGUCCUUUUUAUCCAGGUCUAUCAUUCUUUGAGUGGCCAAUUGGUACUUUGCAGUAUAUUCCUCAGUCACGUCUUGAGCAACGGGACGUUGUUUACGAAGCUUAUAUAUGGGAGGAAACUUGUAAUAUGGAAUGUUGUUCCAGUCAUCUGGUGUAGGAGGGCAACAAGUAUAUCCUACUUCUUCUGUACUCUGCGUUUUUAUGGCUUUACCACACGAUUUGAGAUUAGGUGCCGGUAUAGGAGAAGCAGAGGCUAAUGGUGCAAGAUUGGAAGCACCAUAAAGUCCUCCUAAACCAAGAAGCACAUUUCUCCUUGCAUGAGACAUGGAAACUUUGGCUACGCCUUCUCUGCCGAGAAGAUUUUGCAAAGAAAGACGAGUGUGUAGUAAUAAUGAGAGUUUUGCUACUCUGCUCACCAAGACUUAAACAUAGAAUUAAUGGAACAAGAAGAAGCCAUUAUUGAGAUGACUGACAAUUGUUCUCAUUCCUAUCAUCUAUAAAUAUAGACUAAUAGAAAUAAUCAUAAAGUUACAUAAAAACAAAAAACAAAAAUGUGUAACCGCUAAAGAACAAACAUGUGAUAUUUAGAUAGAAUCAAUCUAUCCGUAUUAUAUGUACGGACACGAUAAAGAACACUGAUUUCAAUAAGUUUGAGAUAUUCAAGAUAGAAUCUAUCUAUAUUGUGUACGAAUGAUAAAAAAACAGUCAUCCAUCCAGUAAGCUAGCUUGAUAUAUUCAAGAUAGAAUCUAUCUAUAUUGUGUGCGCGGAUGAUAAAAAAAACAGUCAUCAGUCCAGUAAGUUUGAGAUAUUCAUGAUAGAAUUUAUCUAUAAUGUUAUAUCAGAUUAUAUUCCAUCCAACUUUAGUGUAAGAUUUGUGCUUAAACUAAGCAACCUAAUUAGAAUAACAUGCUGAAUUAUUAGAGUAAAUCCAUACUAUUUUUUAUGAGACUUGAAACAAACAUGAUUAGAGGUGCCAAAUACAUUUAUAGAUGAUUUCUCUAGAUAUACAAAAGUAGAUUUUUUAAGAAAUAAAUAUAAAGCUAUGAUAUAUUUAUUCUUAAAGUAGGAAAAAUAAGUUUUAUAAGUAAUUUUGUAUGUUUAUUGUAUCCUUCCCACUCACUCCACCUCUUGACCGCCACCACCCCACUGCCUACCCUUUCUACUCGAUAGUGUUUUAUUAAACUACAUAUAAAUACUUUUUAAAUAACAUUUUUUUUGCUUAAUUACUUACCAAACACAGAAAAUAACUAAGAAACCAACUUGUUCUCCAUGAUAAAUAUUCUUCUUCCUACCAAACACACCCAUAAAGCUGUUUGGAGUGUCUAACUCAAAUGGUAAGUUUUUGCUCAUCAAUGAUAUAAUUAAUGGACACGAAGUUUAAAUUUUAAAAAUCUUGAAAAGGAUAACAUGAAAAACGUUAAUUCAAUGGGUCUCCAAUUUUUUUUUAAAAUUAAAUUAUGGGUUUAAGAGAUCAUGUUACUGUCUAUUUAUCUAAUUGUAAAUUUACAAAAAACAAAAAGGAGAGGACAUUGACCUAACUUCCCAUAUUUAUCCACGCUACACCAAAAAUGAUCUUUAGCGGCAAUUAACACUCUUUGUAAAUGUCUCUAAAAUCUAUAGCGACAUUGAAUCUAAUGACAAUUAACUAAUACCGGUAAAAACUUUAACAUUCUUUGUUAAUGUAGAUAUUUAUUGUCGCUGAAAGUUGCUUUUGUUGUAGUGUAAAAAAUAAUGUGAUUUAAAAACAUAAAAUAAAAAUACAAUUUUUGGAGAAGAAUAAAUAUUUAUUAUGGAGGAUAGAAUAUGGAGAAUAAUAAAAAAUCUUUAUUUGGAGAAGCAUAAUUUUUAACUAAGCCAGAUAUUAUCCCGAUUCCCGAGAACAAUAAACUAAGAUUUGUGGGUCUUUUGUUUUGUUAAUAGUGAAUUAGUGAUUAUACCUUGUAAUUAUAGAUUGACUAAGUGCAAUGAUGAAUCAAAUUAAAUGGAUUGAAAAUAUUUUUAACCUUUCUUCGUUUUAAUUAAAAAUAAUAGUUUUCCACGUUUUUGUUGUGGCAAAGAAAAAGACAAGUUCAUAGUUGUCUUUUUCUAAGAAAUCCAUACUAAUUUUUAUGAGACUUGAAAUUCAUAGUGCACUCUUGUGGACACUAUUAAUUAUCAUAGAUUUUUCCACCUUAGGUUUUGUGUUAUUAUUUUUUUUAAAUAAUUUUUUAUUGCAUUGAACAAUUAGAUAACACAUUUUAAGAAAUUCUUUUGCUCUUCCCUAUGAUGAAUCUACCAAAUAUUUUUUGAAUGAUACGAUUUUAACCUAAUCUUUUUAUACCAAAUAUUUUUUGAAUGAUACGAUUUUAACCUAAUCAUUUUAUCUGAACAGGCGAACAUAACAAGUAAUGAAUUAGUACACUCAAUUAGGUGCAGUGUGAUAGUUUGCUCUCAUAAAAACUAUAAAAUUAAAUUGUUCCGCUAGAACAAUAGCAAAUAUAUACUCGUUACUCAGAUGUGAAGCUAGUAAAACGUUGACUUUAGGACCUCAAAUAUUGAAGCCUCAAAAUUCUUUUGAUAAUAAAUUUAUGAUUUUAUUUUCACUUAAAACAAAAUUGAGGAUCAUAAUAAAAAAGGUUCAAAUUAGUUAAGUAUUAAAAGGACAGCAAGAAAAACUAUCUAUGGUUUAUCAAAAAUAUUUUAGAACUUGAAUUAAGUAAUAACUUAAAUUAUCCUAUUAAUAAGUAAAGUUCUUACAAUAAUAUCCAAGGUAAUGAAUUGCAAAUACAUGGCUAAUCUUUUAUUAAGUAGGAUUAAUAUUUAAUUUUAUAUUUCUAUAUGAGGUUAUAUAUAGGCCUUACUAUAUCAUCUAAAAAUAUUACAUUAAAAGCAACAAGUAUAUAUAAAAAAUAAAAAAAUAUAACUCUUAAUUUUUAUUUUUUUGUCUAUUUAUAUAUAUAUACUAAAGACUUCUUAUUAAAAUUUUAUUUUAUGCCACUAAUUUUUGAUAAAACGUCCAUUGAAGAAAUGAUGAAGACCUUCUAGAUCAUUCUUAGAGCUUAACAGAGAGAGUAAAUAACUGCUUGUGUGUAUUGAUUAGAAUGAAUACAGAAUGAAUGUACAUUUAGUGUAUCUACUACUAUUUAUAGAAUGACUAACUAACUGAUUAGUCUAACUAACUACUACAUAAUCUGUUAUAACAAAAUUCCAGUAAUACAAUUACUAUUUCAUCCUUUCUCUACAAUCAUCUCAACAUCCCCUUCAAGCUAGAUGUUGUAAACACAUUCAAGACUCCUAGCUUGGACAGUAGAUGAUAAUGUUGACAGCUUCCAAGUCCUUUUGUCAGCAAGUCUGCUUCCUGCUCAGUUGUUAAGACAUACUCUGGAUGUAUCAAACCUUGUUGCACCUUCUCCCUUAUAAAAUGACAAUCAAUCUCUAUAUGCUUUGUCCUCUAGGAAACACUGGAUUAUUUGCUAUUUGCAUGGCUGACUUACUACCUGUAAACAGCUGAAUUGGUGUAGGAACAUCAACACCUACACAUUUGAAUAAAUCAAUCAGCCAAAUCAACUCAGACACUGUUAAAGCCAUACUUCUGUAUUCUGAUUCUGCUAAACAACUAGCUACAGUGUUUUGCUUCUUGGAUUUCCAUGAUAUCAAGGAUUGACCAAGCUUCACAGUGUAACCAGUUACAGACCUUCUUGAGUUAGGACAACGUGCCCAAUCAGCAUCACAAAAUACUGUCAAAAUACCUUUUCCUUCUGCAUGCAUUAGAACACCAAGUCCUGGCUCAUUUUUGAGAUAUCUGACCACCCUGUGUGCUACUUCUAAAUGAGACUUCUUAGGAUCCUGCAUGAACUGGCUUAAAGUUUGAACACUAUAGGCAAUGUCAGGCCUAGUUAGUGUCAAAUAAAGUAGUUUUCCUAUCAACAUUUGAUACCCUCUCACAUUUGGCAAAUGUGGAUCAUUUUCCAGACCACCACAUUGUUGAUCAUAUUCCAAGCUUGUUAGCUUCUGAUUUUGCUCAAGUGGUGUAAGUGUUGGCUUGCAGCCACCCAAACCCAACUCAGCUAUAAGCUCCAGAGUGUACUUUCUUUGACAUAAUAAAAUACCUUUCUUAGACCUGCAUAUUUCUAUUCCCGAAAAAUACUUCAAUGGUCCAAGAUCCUUGAUCUUGAAGGCUGCAUGUAACACACAUUUUGCCUCUUGUAUAAGGUCCUUGUCAUCUCCAGUAAUCAACAAGUCAUCAACAUAAACAAUGAUAAUCACCUGUCUAGAAUUUCUUUUCAAAACAAACAAGGAAUGAUCCUGUUGACUUUGAAUAAAACCAGCUGACAAUAGUGUAUUUGUGAUCUUCAAAUUCCACUUUCUAGAGGCUUGCUUGAGGCCAUUAAGAGAUUUGAGGAGUCUACAUGCCUGAUCACCCCCUUGACUACCAAAUCUUGGAGGAAACUGCAUAAACACCUCUUCCUUAAGGUCACCUUGCAAAAAGGCAUUAUACACAUCCAUUUGAAACAAGGGUCAUUGGUGCAUAGCAGCCAAAGCAAUGACAGCUCUCACAAUUACCAUUUUGACUACUGGGGAAAAUGUUUCUUAAUAAUCUAAGCCUUCUUGUUGAUUGUACCCUUUAGCAACAAGUCUGGAGUUAAAUCUCUCAAUUGCACCAUUAGAUUGAUACUUGAUAUUGUAUACCCACCUACAACCAAUAGGUUUCUUGCCUUUAGGAAGAGGAACAACCUCCUAAGUGUGAUUUUGAACCAGUGCAUCAAUCUCUGAUUGCAUAGCAGAAAUCCACCUAGGAUCCUUUAAGGCUUCUUCAUAGGAAGUAGGCUCCACUUCAGAUGAAAUAGCAACCAGGAAGGACUGACAUUUGGAAGAAUGACCAGAGUAGUCGAUAAACUUGGACAAAGGAUAUAAACAAGCAACAUUCCCCUUAACAUGAUGGACAUAAUCCUGAAGCCAAGUUGGAGGCCUGGUACCUCUAGUGGACUUCCUUAACUGAGGUUGUGAGGAAAGAUAAGGAUCAGAUAUAGAAGGGGUAGGACAAGACUCAACUGGUGGUGAGAUGAGAGACAAAUCAGCGGAUAAAAGAGAUGUGAUAGAAUCAGUAGGUGCAGGAUUUGAAGGCAUAUUAUCAGGACUAGAUAGAUCAAAGAACAUAGGAGUAUUGUGUUUUCUGGUUUUCAGUAACAAGAAAGGGAAAACAUGUUCCUUGAACACAACAUCUCUACUGACAAAGAACCUCCUAGAGUUGAAAUCAUGCAGUUUGUAGGCCUUUUGUGUGGAGGAGUACCCUAUGUGGACUGCAGGAAUUGCUCUAGGGGAGAACUUGUCUACUUCGGAUGGGACAGUGGCAAAACACAAACAUCCAAGAACCCUGAGAUGAGAAAGACAUGGAGUAUGACCAUGGAAAACCUCAUAGGGAGACUUCCCAUUUAGAACCACUGAUGGUAACCUAUUAAUGAGAUAUAUUGCUGCCAGUACACAGUUACCCCAAAAAGAAAUAGGAGAGUACCUUAAAACCUGACUGCCCUUGCCACCUCUAGAAUGUGUCGAUGUCUCCUUUCCACCACUCCAUUUUGUUAUGGAGUGUGUUGGACAACUACUCUGGUGUCCAAUACCAUGCUUGACCAAGAAUUCUGAGAACUCCUUAGUAAAAAACUCAGCACCAUUAUCAGUCCUGAUCAUUUUCACCUGCUUGGUAAACUGAACAUGAACCAUUUUGACAAAGGAUUGUAGUAACACAAAUGAAUCACUUUUGAGUUUCAUUAAAAAGACCCAAAUCAUCUUGGAAUGAUAAUCCACAAUAGUGAGAAAGUACCUAUGACCAGUAAUAAUAGGGACUCUAUAAGGACCCCAUACAUCAAUGUGUAAUAAAUGGAAAACAUCAGUUGCUAUGGAAAUACUAAGAGGAAAUGGUUUUCUGGUUUGUCUAGGUAAGGGACAAACAGUACAAUCAUUAAAACUACAAAGUGGCACUUUAUUUCUGUAGGAAAUGUAGCUUCUUUAUGACAACAGCAGGUACAUGACCCAGCCUCUUAUGCCAAACUUGCACAUCUUUAGACAAUUUUUUUGUAACAUUGCUGCUAGCAUUUACCCUUUUAUCAACAACCUUCUCAGAAGUCCUAGGAAGUAGGAAAUAGAGACCUCCUUUCUCUUUACCAAUCCUGUAACAUCUCACAAUUUGAAAUAACUAGGAAGAAGCUUAUAAUUGGAAAUAGUCAUUUUUUAAAAGAAUUAAAAUCUGGAUAUUUGUUUUAAGUUAGGAAAAGUUGAGUUUUGGUCAACUUCAAAAGGCAAUAAUUCCUAGCUCAGGAUGAGUUAGGUGUACUUCCAGAUAUGGUUGCAAAGCUCUUGGAAGUAUCUUUCCAACGCCGCCGAGUUUGCACAAAUCCGAGUUCGUAUGAGUGAGUUAUACCCUUUGGAAGUUGGGCUAUUGGAAUAAGGAAAGUCCAAUCCGGAUUUUUAUAGAGUAGUUUGGUCUUUUCCUUAACCUUUUAUUUAAUUCGUUUUUUGGGUAAUUAAUGUGGGAUCUAAGCUGAAUUAGAUCAGUUUACACUUUUACCAAAAGAGUUAGGGUUUGGAGAGAAAACAAAAGAAGAGGAGAAAGGAGAAGAGGAAGCAAGAACGUUCAGGAUUCGUCGAUUUCUUGGAGCUUUGCUCGUGGAUUUCGUCAGGGGGAUCCCUACAAGGUAUGUGAGAUCACAUAGCGUUGGGUUAGUUCACCCACGCGCCAAGCAUGUUUAAAUUCAGCGUAUUUUCGUCCUAAAAAGAUUGAGAAUUUGAUGUUCUUGAUAGUUGUUCUUGAAUUGAUUUCGUUCUUGAACAUGAGUUGGGAUUAAGGAGUUUCUUGAUGAUUAAGUGUUGUUUCUUUAAGUUGUUGGGUUAGAUUUUGUGUAUAUGAUAUGGGUACAUGAAUCUAAAGUGAAUUUCAAAAAAAGAAUCGAAUUCAAAUGAUUUAGGAUCAGAAAACAAGAUCAAUAGGUCGUUAGAAUUUUGCCUGAAGGGAGGCUGGCGCGACGCGCCCCCAUAGCGCCAGGCAGGCUGGGGCGGCGCGCCAACAGUGCGCCAGAUUUGAGCCCCAGUAAGUUGGGGCUGGCGCGGCGCUCCCAAGAUGCGCCCAAAUCAUUGUUUUCACCAGUUUUCGUCGUUUAGCCUAUUUAAGUCCUUCUAAAGUGUAUUAACACUUCCUAUUGAUUCUAACUACUCUAAAUGACUUCUAAACAUCUAGAAAUCAUCCAAAAACAUGAAUCAUAGCUUUGAAUCCAUAAAUUCAAAUUCAAGAAAAGUUAAGAGCCAAGUUUAGGAAGUUCUUCGAGUCUUUUCAAGAAGUCUUUUGCAAAUGCUUUUUAAGACUUACAGUUCAAGUUGAGUAAAGAUAUAAGUUCAUUUCUUCAAAAGUAUAUGGGGACUAAGUAUUCCCAAAGAGAUUUAAAAUAUUUUUACAUUUAAAUAAGAACGGAAACUGAGAUUUUCAAAGAGUCUUUGGCCUAGUUUUCAGAAAAGAGAAAUAGCUUUCUAAAUGAAGCAAGCAGGGAAACUAAGAUUUCUGAGAUAGCUUUUGAGCUAAGUUUUUGAGCACUAAUCUCAAAUCAUAGAAGAAGUAUGUUUUUAAACAUAAAGAACUAAGUAUUUUUGGGAGUAGUAUUGAGCACCGAUAUGGGAUGCGAGUUUAUAUUAACUCAAGUCUCCAUAAACCAUGUAGACAUCAUGGGUAGAAAAGGGUCAUACUUUUUAGAUGAAUCAUUUUCGCAUAGACUAGUGGAUCCACUUAGUGAGUUAGCUUCCUAUAUCACGGCAAGGUAUAGGAUGGGCCUCGGCAGCGUGAUGUAAACCGUUAUAUCAUCACUAUAGUUCUUAAGUGAUGGUUGUCGGUUAGAGAAACUCCCACAAUAGUAGUAGCAUGGUUCCUCACGGGGUUCUACUUAGCAUGAAUGGGGGUAUGGGACUUCAUUCAUGCAUUGCACAAGUAGACUUUGGAGAGGGAGCAUGGUUUGUCUUUUUUAUGAUAUUAUGAUUAUGAAUUGACAACAUGUUUUUCAACAGUUUUUAUUUAUAUUGCACUUGUUUUAAACUUCUUUAUAAUGAAAUGAGUUUAUUUAAGUAUUCAAGAGUUGAGAAGAGCCAAGGUAAGUGUUUCUUUCAUAAUCUCUUUCGAGCCUAUGUUGUUUUAGCAUUCCAACUCGAAUACUCGUACAUUCAAUGUACUUAUGCCAAUUGGCCUGUAUCGUCUUAUGAUGCAGACACAGGUAACUAAGAUCGGCAUCCGGCUCAUUCGUUGAUCCAGUGAGCAGUUCAGAGUCUGUUGGUGAGCCUCUUUGCAUUCCAGAGGACUCCUUCACAUUGUUUUCAGUUUUAGUAUUAGUUCAUUAGGAUGUCGCGGGCCUAUUCCGACAUCCACCUUAGUUGUUUAGAGGCUUCAUAGAUAGUCAGACAGUCAGUUAGUAAAUUCAGCUGUCUUUAAUUUUUAUUUCAUAUGUUAAGACUUGAGUUGCCAUUUUGGCCAAGUUGAAUGUUGACUAUUAAACAUUCUAAGUUAUUUCAUUAGUUAGAUUGAGUAGUAUGCUAUUGAUCUUUAUAAAUAUGCAUAUAGUCUUUCGCUGAGUUAGUAAUCCAGGCCAAGUGUUCGCUUGAGGCCAGCAAUGGUCUUCAAGUGCCGGCCAUGUCCAGGGUGUAGGCUCGGGGCGUGACGAAUCCCCCUCACUUUCCCAGUACAUAGGUCCUGGAAAACACAAAAAUAUGGAAAAAAGAGCACUGAGCAUUGCAAUUCUUUUGUCAUCUUUGAGACUGACAUCAGAUUGUAUUUGAAGUCAGGCACUUACAACACAUUUUCAAUGGUACAAUCAUUUGAAAUAUGACAUAUGCCUUGAUACUGAACUGACACAUUCUUACCAUUUGGCAUAAGUACACUACUUUUUAUGAGAUCAUGCAUAUUACUCAAGUUAUUCAGCAAAUCCAGAUUAUUAGUCAUGUGAUCUGUUGCUCAACUGUCUACUAUCCAGGGCUUACAAGCCUGUAUAGAAGAUGAGUUAUAGAAAGCAUUACCUGCCAUGCUCCCAGCCAGCUCUACUCCCUUGUUGUCAAGCAUAUUCAUUAUCUGAUUAUAUUGGUCAUCUGUGAAGUAGUUUUGUCCUUUGCUGCCAUCAUGCUCAACUCUUGAAUGACAUUGAGACCUUUGAACAGUACCACCACAAUUGUUUUCGGCAUGCUGUGUGAAGUUGGCUCUCUGAAGGGUAUGGUUGUUGCUUGCAGGCAUUAUGAGAACCAUUAGAAGAUCCUCCAGCAUUCCCUUUGUGCUGAAUAUUAUCUUAUUUGUCACUAACAUAAUCAUAUGCAGACAUAUUUGCUUGUCUUGAUGGUCCCCAAUUGUUCUCUCCCAUGACAUUGUGGUUAAGUUUGAUUAGUGGUUUUUUCUUUCCCCUGUAGCCUGGUGGAUAGCCUAUUACCCGAUAGCAAUUACCUUCACGAUGGCCUUUCCUUUGACAGAUAUCACAAAAAAAUUGUUAUUAGAACUACUAUUACCCCCAUAAUUGUUGCCAUAGUUAUUAUUAUUGUUGAAUUUUCUUCCUUAUGAUUGAGUAUUAUGAAUACUCAUUAGGGCUGUACUUUCAUUCGACUCAAUUCCUACACAUGAACUGGAUUCACAGAUCUUCCUUUGACUCUCCUCAUGCACAAGCAUAACAUGUGCUUGGCUAACAGAGGGAGAUGGCAUCAUAAGUAAGAUUUGACUCCUAAUAGCACUGUAGGACUCAUUUAAUCUCAUCAUGAAGUGAAACAAUUUCUGUUGUUCUAGAUGCAGCUUAAAAUCCUUCGAUGCAAGACAUCCACAUAUAGCAGGCACUAAUGAACAAUACUCAUCCCAUAACAGGCGCAAUCGUGAAUGAUAAGUAGAGAUAUCAGAAGUACCUUGAGAAAUUGUGGCUAUUUCUCUGUGAAGAUUGUGGAUCCUUGAUCCAUUCACCUUAUCAAAUCGCUCAUGUAGAUCCAUCCACACAGCAUGAGCAUCGCCUGCAUACAUAAUCCCAUUUACUAGCUCUUUCGAAACUGUAUUCAUAAUCCAAGUUAGGAUUGUUGCAUUCACUCGUUCCCAUUCUUCUGCUAGUACUACAACAAAUAUGAUAUAUAGCUAUGAAAUUAUUAGCUACGACAUAAAAUUCGUCAUUAAUUGUUCACUUUUAGUGACAAAAAUUACUUUUCGUGCUUAAAUAUACAAGGCAUAUACUUUUGGUGACGAAACAUAAUAGUUCGUAGCAAAGUUUUGUCCACUAAAGUUUCCCACCAAAAAAUGUAUUGGCGCCAUUUAUUGAGUACUGUCAGUCACGAAUUUAAAGUUACCAGUGACACAUUAUUUCGUCACUAAUGAUGUUUUUAAUUUGUGACAACUUAUUUUUGUCUUAAAAUUAAUUAAUUUUUUGACGCAAAAUAAUUUCGUCUCAAAAAAUAUGUUGAUACAAUAGCGACAAAUUAGAAUUUAUAGUUAAAUAUUCUAAGUUUUAGCUAUAAAAAUUUAGAUUUUAUUGUAACAUUUAUUUUCGUCACUAAUAAUAUAAUUAAUUGGUGACAAUUAUUUUAUUGUCUCUAAUCAACCUACGAUUUAGUGACAACAAAAAAUUGUCACAAAAUAUGUAUGAUAUUAAAUAGCGAUGACUUAGAAUUUGUAGUUGAAUAAUUCAACUAUUUGCUACAAAAAUAUUCAUUUUGGGUACGAUUGUUUAUAAUUAGAGAAUUUCAUAAAUGGUCCAUCAACUAUUAAAGUAGGUCUAAAAUAGUCCUAUAACUAUACAUUUAUCAUAUUUAGUCCUUUAACUAUUCAAAAUAUUAUCAUGUUUGGUCUCUUAAUUAUAUACUUACCAUUUUUAGUCUCUUGACUAUGCAUUUACUAGUUUUAGUCUUUAAGUAUUCAAAAAUUUAUCACGUUUGGUCUCUUUGAUUAUUUUUAUAAAAAUAGUACUCAUGUCUAUGUGAAAUUAUAUCUUUAACCCAUUUUUUAGUUAUUUCUCUUUCCCACUACUUUUUCUUCAAAUUACUCUGAAAAAAAGAACCUUACCUCAAUGAUUCAAAACAAAAUUCACGGUAAAAGAAGAUACAAGUCCUGAUUUUUAUUCAAUGGAGGAUGAAAUCAAAUAUAUUAUUGCUACCAAUGACUUGAGAAUGCUAAAAUUUAUUAUAAAAGAAAAAUGUUAUUACUGGUUAGUUGUAGAAAGAAAUUUAUUUAUAUUUAAUACAAAUGAAUUUCCUGCAAUUAGAAUAAAAUUAAAAAAAAUUUACUCGUAUAUUUUGAUUCCAAAUUUUGUACUCCAAUGACUUUAUUAACGGGAAUUUAUUUAAUAUCUUAGAAGCUGAAAUUUAUAAAAUGGUAGAUUUUCCACCAUUUUUAAGAUUUUUUUUAUUUUGAAAUAUAUCAAUUUUAUUAUUAUGUUCAUUUGAUUUUUCGUAGAGAAAUUGAAUAAUAAUAUCAAAUCUUUUAUUUAUUUUAUAUGAAAAAAUGGAAAAAAAUAUUCACGCUAAUUAUGAACCGUUAACCACUAAAGAAGAGAACAUUUAUUUUUUUGUUGGUAACUGUACAGACUAACUCGAUCUAUUUGCUUCUGUCUAAAAAUACAUACAUAAUUAGUAGUGGAUCUUUUUACGUAGAGCAACUCUAUUGAGAGUCUAUCGACUUACAAACUUAGACUGCAAAGAUGCAAAAUAUUUCAUGGGUUCUAUUACCUUUUUCAUCCGUGUGGAAAAUUGAAAAUAAACUAAAAAAAAAUGAAAGCACAAAUGAAAGAAAUUAACCAACUAUGAUUUUGAAUAUAUUAAGAUAAAGUACUAUCAUUGUGGGUAUCAAUAUUUUUUUAAAAUUUGAUUUACCGAUCGAAGCGAACCGAGUAUUAGUAUUUCUUUUAAUAAAGUCGAAUGUUUUAUUUUAUAUAACUUUAUAAUUAUACUGAAUAAUGUUUUAAUUUAAAAUAGUGUAUACACUUGUUUAUACGUGUAUAAUAGUGUAUAAAAGGUGCUUAUAUACAUUUUUAUAUUGUUAUACAUAAUUAAACUACACAUACACAAAUCAAUUGUAGAUAAUUUUUAAAUAAUGUACCUGCACUUUAUAAGUGUGUAUAAACAUUGAUUAUAUACAAUUAUAAUAUAGGACACCUUUCAAUCAUCACGAGUGUUCACACCCAAUUUUGAUAAUAUGCAAUUCGUAUUAAUUAUCGAGCUUCUUCAAUUUGAAAUCAUUAUUUUUGAAAUUUUCAAAAAUAUUUUAAAUAUAUUCUCUAAAUAGUUCUGUUAGUUUUCAUAAAUAAUUAUAUAACUAUAUAUAUAUAUAAAACUUUAAAUUAGUUAACUUCAUAUUUAUGUAUAAUUAUUAAUUAACUUAUGUCUUAAGAAAUAUUUUGUCUUAUUUUAAAUUAAGAACCUCAAAUAAUUAAUCAAUCGAAUUUAGCUAAUUGAUUCGAUUUGGCAAUAUUCAAAUUCAAUUGACUAAAUUCCUAAUACAAUAGGCCACUCAAUUCAGCUAAGAUUACAAUCGUUUGGCCAUAUUUUGAAUUCUUUAUUCUAAGACCCUCAUAUCCUCAUACAUCUAGAGUCAAUUAGGUCAUUUUAUAGAUUAUUAUAUUUGAUUUAAUAUAUUGUGUAGACACGUAAUUUUUUAUCAAACUUAAGUUUAACAUUAUUUUUAGUGCUUAAAUAUUUUUUUAAAAUUUAAAUUAAUUAUUUUAAUUUUUAUUUUAUUUUAUUAAGUUUAUUUUAAAUGAUUUGAAAAGCACAAAAAAUUGAAUCGUAAUUUUAGGUAAGUUUUAUUUUUUCAAUUGUUUUAAAAAGAAAUAAAAAAUAUAAUUUUGUUUAUAUGUUUUCUUUAAUUUAGGUUUAAUAAAUAAGCUAGUAAUUUUAAUAUAUUCUUUAAUUACAUAUUUAGAUUAACUACUUAUCUUUUCUUAUAUUUUCAUUAGUUCAAAAUAAUUAGCUAAUAUUUUUAUAAUUUUUAUAUAAAUUUAAUAAAUAAAUAAUAACCAACUGAAACUACCUCUUACCCCACUACUACACCUACACCAUCCUAUUUUCCUCCCACUAUCCUAAUUGUUUACCCACUAUCUACCCACACACACAAUCAUUACCUGUAUUAACACAACAAUAAAUCAAAACUAAAAGAAUCAGCAACACCCAAACCCAACAAACGACAAUAAGGAAAAAAAGGGGAAAAAAAACUCCUAUACGACCAUCACACAAAAACACACAAACAAAAAAAAAGGACGAUCAACAAAAAAAAAAAAACAUAUACACGCAAAGCAACAGCAACACAUGGAAACAAAAAUACAAUACACACUAACACCAAAAACAAUAUUUAUGAGAGUUUUAAUCGAGUUUCGAUCAAGAUUUUGCGGUUCUUAUUUCUUCAUUUGUGGUACUUAACUUUACCUUAUCUCUUAAUUUAUUUAUGGAAAUUUAUGUAAUUAUGUGAUAAGUUUUUCUAUUUUAUUUAAAAUUUGAUUGAAAUGAAGAUUGGGUUAAAGUGUUAUAUCACCAUUUAAUGAAUGAAGUCCUAUAUAAUGUAAGAAUUUUAUUUUUUAUUCUUGUUGUUGUUGUUGUUGUUGUUGUUGUUGUUAUUGUUGUUUAAUUUUGUCAUGCCCAAGCCACUAUUUUUAUGACAUUGUUGUAGCUUAAUGUUCAUGUCAAUUGUCUAUUUUAAUUUACAUAUUUUUAAAUAAAUGUGAUUACCUAAUAAACAAACAAAUGGGUUAUGUUGUUAAACUUGAAUUUACUUCAUUUUGGAUUAGUUGAAUCCUUUGAUAUGAGGAUUAAUUUAUUUAAAAAUAGUAUCAAUUAAUAUAAUAAUGGGAUGAAAGAAUAGUUCUCUAAAAUUCACCAAAAUAAUAGUAAGUACUUUCAAUACUAGGUGAGUUUUAGGCACGUUAGAAAUAUGUGUUUCAAUUAAGAGACUUUUAUUCAUUGCCUAAGCAAUAUCAGUUGUUGGCUUUUGUAUUCACCUGCCACAUUCAUGAGUUAUUUUAGGGCUUUUGUAUUUAGCAAAUCAGAAUUACAUUGUUGAUAACAUGCACCUAAUUAACUGACAUAACAUUUCAAUUUUCAGUUAAAUGAGCUACAUAAAAAAGAUUUGGACUUACAAGUAUUUAUCUGUCAACUUUAUGAAAAAAGAGCCUUUUGAUUGUUUCAUUUGUCAUUUCUUAAUCACAUUAAAUUUUUUUAUAAUUGAUGGCCUUUUUCUAUUAUGUUCUAAGAAAUUGCUUGAGUUUUGUUUUCUAGAACUCUCGUCUUUUUUUUUCUCCAACAAAAUGGAUGAGGCUAUAAAUUCUAGUUAUAUGCAGUUUCUCCUUUAAUUCACGCAUGUUUGAUUCGAAUGUGAGAAUUCCUACAUAGAUUACAUUAUAUUUUAAUAGUUAAUAGUUUUCAUGAAUGAUAGAGUUUAUGUUGCCAUGUAGAGUAGUUUGUGAUGAUAUAUACUCCAUAAACUUUCACGUGUGUUAAACUUGUAAUGAUAAAAUUUAUAUUGUAAAUUAGAAAGUACUAAUAUAUAUAUNNNNNNNNNNNNNNNNNNNNNUAUGUGUUACCACAUUAUUGAUAUUUUAGAAAGAAUUUUUACUUAUAUGUCUUUGUAUAGGAGUAAUAUUUAGUAUAUUUUUGGUUUGAUUUUCUUGUCAUUGGACAUAUUUUACUUUUAUUUUAGGAGUUCGUAAUGAGAUAUUAUUAAUUUAGUAUAAUUUUAGUUAUUUUUAUUGUAUGAUCAUGGGUGAAUUUUAUGACAAAUAUUUUUGUCAUGAAUUAAAUUAAUUCAUCACAAGUUGAUUACAUUUAGUGACACAAAUGUAUUGUCCUAGUACCCCUUUUAUUGAAUAUGAUUUUAUUUUUAUUUUGUGACAAUUGUAAGUGUCACUACUUAUGAUAAUAUUUUGUGACAAUAUAUGUCGUCGAUAAAAGCAGCACUUUUAGUGACAAAAUGAUAUAUUUAAUCACAAAAUUAUUAACUUUUUUUAUUAUAUUAAAUUUAUCCCUAAUUUAUACAUUUAAGGACAAAAUAUUUUUUUGUAUAUAAAAAAAUAGUCAUUAGUGACGAUAUUGUAUUUUUCAACUACGAAAUACAUAUAGCUUUAGAGACAUUUGAUGUCGUCACUGAUUGAACAAAAUAAUUAGUGAUGAUUUAAUUUUGUCACUAAUAAUAAUAUUUUUAGUGACAAAACAUACUAUUAACUACAAAAAAGUUACACUUUUAUGACAAAAUAAAUUCGUCACAAAUGUUUAUGCAUUUGGGGACAAUUUUUAUUUUGUAGUUAAUUAUAAUAUUUUAGUGACGAAGCACUAAAUCGUCUUUGUAUACUUUUAGUGACGCACGUUUAGUGACGACUGACUGACGAAAUUUUUUUUCGUCACACAAGAGUUUUAGUGACGAAAUAUGAUUUAUAGAUGACGAAAUUGUACGAACUCUUCUUGCAUGUUCCAUCAAUGAAUCCUGAUUUUCGUUUGGCUCACAAUGCAAUCUUCAUUUCUCUGCUCCAAAUCGAGUAAUUCUCUGAUCCACUGAGAUGAACAGAGAUUAUUACAUUGCCAGGAUUAUCUGAUGGUAACAGACAUAGAGGAUGUCGAUGAUCUGUAACCUCCAAUUCCACCAUCGCUAAUCCUUAGAGAUUUUGAAAAAAAAAAAAUUGCAUGAAUUUGGGGAAAACUUUUGCAGAGACUUGAGCAACUUCACUACUCAACUCUUGAAGCUCCAAUCACCCUAACCGUAGCUCUGAUACCAUGAUAAAACCUCCAUUGAAGAAAUGAAGACUUUCUAGAUCAUUCUUAGAGCUUAACAGAGAGAGUAAAUAACUGCUUGUGUGUAUUGAUUAGAAUGAAUACAAAAUGAAUGUACAUUUAGUGUAUCUACUACUAUUUAUAGAAUGACUAACUAACUGAUUAGUCUAACUAACUACUACAUAAUAUGUUAUAACAGAAUUCUAGUAAUACAAUCACUAUUUCAUCCUUUCUCUACAACAAUCUCAACAAUUUUAUUGAGAUGCUCAAUUAUUUUAAUUUCCAACUAAUAGUCUUGACAAUAUGAAUAAAAAUAUGAUAUUCUUGAUGAUUAAUUUAGGUAUAUGAGUGUUUCUAGCUUUAUACCGAGAUACAAUUAAGUGCAUGAUGAACUAGUUUAGAACCAAUGCAUUAGUAACUAUAUGUUUGAAUACAUACGCAACCUUUUAAACUUGUAUGUAUUAGUAAUCACCCUUUAGCUAAAUGCAAGUAAAGGUAAUAUUUUAUUUUAUAAAAACCAUUCACCCAAGCUUUCAAUUUUUCAGGAUGAGAGUUUAGGCUGGAUCUAUACCUUAUGUAUUAUUUGAGUUAAUAUCUUAAAAUGUCAUUGAACUAUGAGAAAUUAUCUAAAAAAGUCUUUGAACUUUAUUUUGUGUCAAUAAAAUCACCCAACUUAAGACUUUUAUCUUCAAAAAUCACUCAACUAAAUUUAUCAUUAAAAUAAAUUUAACAUGAAAAAAUGAUUUUUUUUUCCUUAUGCCAUUUAAUCAUGGACCCACAAAAAAUAUUGUGACAUAUAAAUCUUUGAAAUAACCACAAAAAAUUACAAAAAUAAUAUCUAUACUUUGUUGUGAUUUUUCAUCUUCUACUUCUGAACCUCAACAACCUCUCCAGCAGUUUCAAUACUUACAACUUCACCAACACCUUGAGCAGCCAGACAUUAGUUCUAAUAGCUAUUACUGGUCCUUCAUUUGGUUCCUUACGAACAAAAAGAUAAGAAAUAAAGACCUUGGCAGAGAACAUUUUGAGAUUGUAUUACUUUUAAAGUAAAAUUAUUACCUGGGUUAUGGUUCACUGAUAUGCCAAAUUUAAUUUUGGUUAUUAUCGUUUUACGUAUCCGGGUGAUAAUCAGUCAUUUGAAGCCUCAUUAGUUGGAAAUAUAAUUUAUUUCUUCCUAUCAAAUUUAUUUUAAUGGUAAAUAUAGUUGAGUGAUUUUUGAAGAUAAAAACCUUAAGUUGAGUGAUUUUAUUGAUACAAAACAUAGUUUAAUGACUUUUCUAGCUAAUUUCUAACAAUUUAGUGACAUUUUAAGAUAUUAACUUUGUAUUAGUUAAACAAAAGAAUGAAAUAGAAGGAAUUAAACAUUACCUCUAGAUAUAAGAGGAUGCCAAGAAAGGAAAGUGACAACUUCAAUUUAAAGAUAGCUAAGAUAGACAAAAACAGGCUACCAUUUACAUUAAAUGGUGAGGUAUUCAGAGUUUGAUUACACGAUGUAUCCAUCUUUAUGUUCAACAACCUCUACUCUGUCAACUUCAUUACCAGUACCCGAUUUUGCUUCACCAACUUCCUAUGUUUCUGUCACGACCCAGACCGCCGUGAGUGGCACCCACACUAACCCUCCGGUGGGAGAACCAAAACUAAAGCCCAACUCAUAAAUUUUCUGAACACUAAGGCAUUUAAAGAUACAGAAGCAGGUUUAAAUAACUAUAAAAAAAGGAGUCCCUAUAAACUCCAAGGUUUUAACAAUUAACUAACCAAACUAAUGCGGAAAUUCAUCCCCUAAAACAUGAAAGUCAAUGUACCAAAACUUUACUAACGACAAAUCUAAGAACAAUGGGUACAACCCCGAAACUAAACAAACACCUUAAACAAAUAGUCUGAGUCAGAACAGAGUCGACUUAACAAAAGAGAUCCGUGGCAGCCCGAAAGAAAUGGCUCACCCUUGAAUCCGAUCACACACAAUAGUCACCUAGCUGAGGUCUAUCAAUAGCCUCCUGAAGAGGCCCUGUACUCAACAAAGAACAAGCAAGUUCAGUAUCAGUACACAACCACAGUGUACUGGUAGGAUCACGCGGCUAUCCCAAUAAGUGUAACAUACAUUAGUCAAUACAACAAUAUAAUCACAUGCACAUAAUGAACAUAUACAAUAUCAUCAACAUAUACGAACAAUGAACAACUUCACAAUUCUCACAUAUCACAGUUAUAUCAAUUUAGAGCAACAUACUGUCUUCCAAUAUCAAUCGUCAUUAGAUAUGAACGAAAUCAUCACAAGUAGAUACACAACACAAUUAAAUGGUCCUCUCACGGAACCCAAUUCAAUGGUCAUCUCAUGGAACCCUCACCCAAACAGUUAGUAUACCGGAACGUGGUACCCGAUCCAAUGAUUAUGCCGAAACGUGACAAUCGAUCCCAUAAUUAUGCCGGAACGUGGCAACCUAUCCAAGUUAGUUAUGCCGGAAUGUGGCAACCGAUCCAAGUUAGUUAUGCCGGAACGUGUCAGCCGAUCCAUUCAACAUGCCACAAUCACAAUCACAAGUAUAUCCUCAAGAUCAUACAUUUAAGUCAUGAUUUCAUGGUAACCAUCAUUCAUCUAUCUCAUUUACAACAAGUGUGAUCAAUAAUGCAACAUUCAUAUACAUACAUGUAUCAUAAUGAAGUAAGAACAAACAUACAUCACAGAAUUACAGAAUCACAACUAUCACAUAGCUCGAAUCCAAGCUUGAAUCCCCUAAGGCACUUGAAUCUUCCCUUUUCGGAUUCUUCCCGCUUGUUUGUGGUCUAAAAACAUACAAAUAACGCAAGGAUCAACAAACGAGGCCUAAUUACCCGGAUUAUAAUCAAUAAAUAUCAAUCCUAGGUGAAACGCUUGGUCCCCAUACCCAGAUUAGGGAUGUUUCCACCAUAGAAUCUAUAACAAAACCCUACCCCAUAAACAUUCACCCAUUCUAUUACGUUCUACGGAUCGAAAAAUGAAUUUGGGGAGUGAAAAACUUACAUUUAGCCUCAAGAAUGGUGAAAAAUGAGUAGGAGUCGCUAGGGGUUCGUUCCUUAGCUCUAAAAAUCGAAAAGUGCUAAUUAAGGUAGUUUAAGGGUUUAUUUACGACUUUAAGUCUCGUCGAACCCGCUACGGCGGGACCCAACCUGCCACAGCGACCCCGCCAUGGCGGCACUAUCCCGCUCUGGCGGCUUGCACAGAAACAAUGAGCAAAUUUAAGAAUUCCAACUCCCAUUUCACAACACACAUUCAUCCCAUGACACUCAGAAAAUACAUGAUCAUACUAAGAUCAGUUUCGGGAGUUCUACUCACCCGAAUUCAAUUCUGUAAAGUCGUACGGGUUCCUUAACGUCUUAGCUAUCCACUCAUGUAAUCAAAUUCAUUAAUAGAUCUCUCAUUGGUUACCAGAUUUCCCUAGACCUCACUGACUCCGAUUUCGUCCAAAUCUGGACUAGGCUAGGAAAUCUCAAGUUACUACGAAAAAGUUUUCUGACCCCAGUUCUUUCUCCAUUGGCUUUUCCAUAACGAUGAAAAUCAGGUCAAUAGAUACCAAUUUACCCAUCAUUUGUCCCCGAGUGACAAACUAGGAGAAAAGGGCUAAAACAAGAAUAUAGUAGUAAUUGAAUCGUCAAAUAACUAGGGAUACUUGUCCCACAUACUUUUUUCUGUCGACUCUGGGCUGCUAGAAGCUUAGAUUGGAUACUUCUCACCUUACCCUAAACAUCUUUCACCAAAUCAACUCUCAAAGGUUUCACGUUUUCAACCUCAAACCAACCAAUUGAACACCUACACAUGCUCCCAUACAAUGCCUCAAUGAAGUCAUCUUAAUACUCGAGUGAUAAAUAUUGUUGUAUGCAAACUUAACUACAACAAAAGUGAUUCCCAACAACCACCAAAGUUGAUUGUACACACGUCUACAACAUGUUAUUAAGGACCUUGACACAAUCAUCCGGACGAAUCUUUUAACACUUAAGCAGAUAAAAUUCCAAGUCAAUACUCGCUACAAAUAGAAGUGAACCUAAAUCAACCAACACACACUCACAAUACCCAAACAAUCAUAGUUGUUAACAAUAUCUCCAUCCCACAACAUAAAUUCCCAUGAGCUUAAGUUAUAACCAAUUUGAUCUUUAGAAAUCAGGUACUCAUCAAGGGAUAUGUCCAAGCAUACAACCCCUCCAACAACACUAUCGAAAUGCUAGAUUUAGUAAUUAUAGAUUACCUCUUAAUAACAGUAGAAUUGGACCUAAUGAUCCCCACAUUCAACCACACAUAACCGGUACAUGACCUCGACGACUAGAGGAAUAUUAAGAUUGUCGGACAAUCACAAAUACGCAUGGCAGCUCUUCUAUAAAUUCUCAUAACCAAGGUGGUACAUGUAGAACCACAAAAUAUUUUUAACAACUCCAAGACAACAUCAAUUAUUUCAUUCGAAAUAACCAAAUCUUCCCAAUAUUCCCACUCAACCAAGAGAAUAUUGCAGGAUUUGGUACCCCCGAUCCACUACCAGGGAUCCACCCACAAAAGUGAAAACACACGAGAGCAUAGCUAGUGAAUCAUACUCACAAUACUAACAACCAUCAUAACACUCUGACCAUUUACCUUAUUAUAACUCAACACUUUUUAAAUGAAACAUUUCUUAGAUACUUAACAAUCAAUAAUAAUAAACUUUACCACUCAAUCCAGGUGUAAGUCCUUUCAAAUACUCAAUACCGGAUACAAUUGAUCAUUUCUCACCUUGCCAAUUCAUACUUUGAUAAAAUACAUCACUACGAAUGUAGACUCAAUAAAGGGAGACUCAACCUCAACACCCCGAGCAUGAUCCAAAUAAGCCAAACAACCCAGUCUUACCAGUUUCUUAGCCCGAAUGGAGGAUAUGAUCUUAGCUAGCUUAGGCUUGUACACCCCUUCCCAAUAUAAUCUUUCCCUACCGGGGAUCUCUAUAGUUACCGACUUAGUAUUACAAUUAAGCCUGGUAUAAUAGGGGGACAACCAAUUCAUGCCUAAGAUUAUAUCAAGUCAGUCAUAUCCAGCAUAACCAAAUCAACCCAAAUCUGAAAAUCCAUAACCACAACAGGACAACACGAUACACAUAGGUGACUAUGAAUGACUCUUCAACUGGGGUAGUAACAUGGAUGGGGGCAUCAAGUAUACACAAACCACAUCAAAUCCCAAGGCAAUUAAACUGACACAUAUGAAUAAGUAGAACCCUGAUCAAACAAAACAAUAGCCAUCCGGGCACAGACAAGAGUAGCACUCGUGACCACUGCAUCACACCCUCAAACUCGGUCUAACCCGGAAAAACAUAAAACUGAGUCAUGUCAUCUUGACUAGCAACCUCAUUGCCUAGAUGCACAACUCAUCUACCUGCAUUACCAUUUUCCCAGCCUCCACAGCCUCGUUGAUUUCCUCCUCAUAUGCCCAGGUUCUCCACAAUUUUAACACAUUUUAUGACUUAUAUUCUUAGAUCGUCGGGGUUAGUUCAGGUACGAUUCGGGGGCCAUAAUUGUGACUAGGGGAAAACAUGGGAGAUUGGGCUAAGAUUCUAUCUCUCUUUGUCCCGCUUUGGCGGGAGAAAUCCCGCACUGGCGGUGUCACCUUGGCGGGAAAAUCCCCCCCAGCGGCUAUAAUGAAAACAGAAUCCCUGCCAACAAUUUUUCUGGGUUUCUUUUCUUUCCCAAUUUCCCCCAAAGGUUCCCAACUAUAACACAGACAUUUUUAGAGUACUCAAUCCCCUUAGCUAAGAUAAUCGUUGCCUACCCCGAGUCAACCCAACGAUACACACUCCAAAAUCCCUUUACGUUACUUCAACACUACAACAUCCUCGUCCCCAUGAUAUACCCAGACUCUCACACGGUUUUCAGUUGGUCGCAACGCAUGUCCAAAUUUCUCGUUUACGAACCACAUCGUAAUUUAUCUAGACCCUUGCACCUAAUCUCGUGAUGACUUUCUUUUCACAACAAGUUUCACGACACUCAAGCAGUUACAACUUGCAGACAAGUCCAAAUUCCUUAAUUAGCUCAUUCCAUAGAUGACCAUUACUGAUCAUCUAUGCCUUAUAUGACCCCUAAGGCAAGAUACCAAUUGCAACCUUCUCAAUUCUAAUUAACUUGCUUGUGUCACUUUAGCCGGGACUACGGCGUCUAGUUCACUUCGUUGAGAUACCAAUUGGAAUCGGGAGAUACCAAUUGGAUUCAACUCAUACCACAAGCGACAAUAGUAGCUAGCUAGCCCCACAAAACUACUAAUUUCAAUCAUAGAACUUGGUCGAACCAAAUUCUUAACCGCCUCAACCUUUAACUGAUGGUAACCAUACCUUAAAUCAAUCUUAGAGAAAACCGAUGCACCUUGCAAUUGAUUAAAAAGGUCAUCUAUCCUAGGCAAUAGAUAGUUGUUCUGAAUGGUGACCAUAUUCAACUGUCGGUAGUCUAUACACAUCCUCUCUUACUGGUGAUGGUGUUACCGUUGUUGUUGCUCUAGCUCGAACCAUGGAGUGAAGGAGGAAAGAUAUGAAUUUGUAUCACCCAAAUACCAAUUAGAUUCAAGUCAUAGCACGAAGGAGUAGAAAGAAGUGAGUUUUUUCCUAAAGUCCUAUAGUCUCUCGAAGAAAAGUACGGACGUUAUCGUACCGUUCCGCAAGACUCUACUAGACUCGUUUUGGUACAAUGAGAUCAACGAACCUAGGGUUCUGAUACCAACUUUGUCACAACCCAGACCGUCGUAAGUGGCACCCACACUAACCCUCCGAUAGGAGAACCAAAACUAUAGCUCAACUCAUAAUUUUUAUGAACACUAAGGCAUUUAAAGAUACGGAAGCAGGUUUAAAUGACUAUAAAAAUGGAGUUCCCAUAAACUCCAAGGUUUUAACAAUUAACUAACCAAACUAAUGAGGAAAUUCAACCCCUAGAAACCUAAAAGUCAAUGUACCAAAACUCUACUAACGACAAGUCUAAGAACAAGGGGUACAACCCUGAAACUAAACAAGCACCUUAAACAAAUAGUCUGAGUCCGAACAGAGUGGACUUAAACAAGAAAGAUCCAUGGCAGCCCGAAAGUAAUGGCUCACCUUUGAAUCUGAUCACGCUCAAUAGUCACCUAGCUGAGGUCUAUCAAUAGUCGUCUGAAGAGGCCAUGUACUCAACAAAUAAAAAGCAAGUGCAGUAUCAGUACACAACCACAGUGUAUUGUAGGAUCACGCGGCUAUCCUAAUAAGUGUAACAUACAUUAGUCAAUACAACAAUAUAAUCACAUGCACAUAUCGAACAUAUACAAUAUCAUCAACAUAUACGAACAAUGAACAACUUCACGACUCUCACAUAUCACAGUUAUAUCAAUUUAGAGAAACAUACGGUCUUCCAAUAUCAAUCGUCAUUAGAUAUGAACGAAAUCAUCACAAGUAGAUACACAACACAAUUAAAUGGUCCUCUCACGGAACACAAUUCAAUGGUCAUCUCAUGGAACCCUCACCCAAACAGUUAGCAUACCGGAAUGUGGUACCCGAUCCAAUGAUUAUGCCGGAACAUGGCAAUCGAUCCCAUAAUUAUGCUGAAAUGUGGCAAUCGAUCCAAGUUAGUUAUGCCGGAACAUGGCAACCGAUCCAAGUUAGUUAUGCUGGAAAGUGACAGCCGAUCCAUUCAACACGCCACAAUCACAAUCACAAGUAUAUCCUCAAGAUCAUACAUUUAAGUCAUGAUUUCAUGGUAACCAUCAUUCAUCUAUCUCAUUUACAACAAGUGUGAUCAAUAAUGCAACAUUCAUAUACAUACAUGUAUCAUAAAUGAAAGCAAAAAACAAACAUACAUCACACAAUCAUAGAAUCACAAUCAUCACGUACCUCGAAUCCAAGCUUGAAUCCCCUAAGGCACUUGAAUCUUCCCUUUUCGGAUUCUUCCCGCUUGUUCAUGGUCUAAAAACAUACAAAUAACGCUAUGAUCAACAAACGAGGCCUAAUUACCCGGAUUAUAAUCAAUAAAUAUCAAUCCUAGGUCAAACCCUUGGUCCCCAUACCCAGAUUAGGGUUGUUUCCACCAUAGAAUCUAUAACAAAACCCUCCCCCAUCAACAUUCACCCAUUCUAUUAUGUUCUACGGAUCGAAAAAAUAGAUUCGGGGAGUGCAGAGCUUACAUUUAGCCUCAAGAAUAGUGAAAAACAGAGUAGGAGUCGCUUGGGGUUCGUUCUUUAGCUCUAAAAAUCUAAAAGUGCAAAUUAAGGUCGUUUAAGGGUUUAUUUACGACUUUAAGUCGUGUCAAACCUGCUACGGCGGGACCCAACCCACCACAGCGGCCCUGCCCUGGCGGCACUAUCCCGCUCUGGCAGCUUGCACGGAAACAGUGAGCAAAUUUAAGAAUUCCAACUCCCAUUUCACAGUACACCUUCAUCCCAUGACACUCAGAAAAUACCCGAUCACGCUAAGAUCAGUUUCGGGAGUUCUACUCACCCGAAUUCAAUUUCGUAAAGUCGUACGGGUUCUUUAAUGUCUUAGUUAUCCACUCAUGUAAUCAAAUUCAUUAAUAGAUCUCUCAUUUGUUACCAAAUUUCCCUAGACCUCACUGACUCCGAUUUCGUCCAAAUCUAGACUAGGCUAGGAAAUCUCAAGUUACUACGAAAAAGUUUUCUGACCCCAAUUCUUUCCCCAUUGGCUUUACCAUAACGACGGAAAUUAGGUCGUUACAGUUUCAAGAUCAUCUUAGGGUUGAUUCACCUACAGUGUUUUCUUGCCUCCAUCUGUGUUCAACAGCCUCUACUCUGUCAACUCCAUUACUAGGAACCGAUCAUAUCACAAUGAACGAUCAGAGAAUAUUAAAAGUUCCACAUUUUGUCCAGUAAAUUUAAUAAAAUUAUCACUAAAAGUCAUAUUUUUAAUAACAAUUGAUUUGCGACAACUAUAAUGCACCACAAUAAAUAUCUUAAUUUCCUUUUAGCAUUCAUUGUUGUGGUCAGUAAAUUUAAAUAAUUUUCUCUAGAAGGCCACAAGAUUUAACAGGUAUGGUUUACACACCAACGAAAAUGGCUACAAUAUUUUUUUUUUAGAAAAAUGAUCUAAUUUGCUAAUAAAUUUAAUUAAAAUGUUAGUAUAAGGGAGCCGUUUAGUGGCAGCAAAAUUUAGAAAAUGCUCGUUAUAUAUAUAUAUAUAUAUCUUUAGCUCUAACAAACAAAAGAAAGUAUUAAUCCAAAAUACUACUAUAACAACUUUAAAAAACUAACACAAAUAAUAUUCUUCAAAUAAUUUUUGCAACUCUUCAUCAUAUUGAAGUCUCUCAAAUUGCUAAAUUUUUUUAAUUUUAGGUAAUUUCCUACUAAAGCAUCGUAGUCCCUCAAUAAAAAGAUUUUAACUACUAAACUAAAUACUGAUAGAUACUAUACACUACAUCAAAAAUGAUCAUUAGCGAUAAUCAAUUCUUAAUUGCCGCAAAAUAUCUAUUUUUAGCGGCAAUUAGCACUCUUUGCAUAUGUCCCUAAAUCCUUUAGCGACAUUGGUUCUAAUGGCACUUAACUAAUGUCAGUAAAGACUUUAGCACUCUUUAUUAAUGUCCAUAUUUAUUGCCGCUAAAAGUUGUUUUUGUUGUAGUGUAUAUUCUGUAUCUACCGAUGGAUACAUAUCGCGAUAUCGUCAGUUAAGUCUUGAUAAAAAAAGUAACAAAUACUUUCGAUGCAUGAAAAAUUACUAUUGUCGUUUCAAAAGUAGGAAGUGCAUUAUUAUAAUUACCGGGAUGUAUAAAUGUUCUAAAACAAUUAAUAAUUUAAAAAUAUGAAUGGAGUCUCUCGAUAUCUCUAAAUACACCGGAAUUAAAUUUCUCUGACUACGGAAAAGACAGUUAUCCUUUUGUUAAAUGAUUUGAAUAUCGAUUUAAUAACUUUAUAUGUUAACUUAUUAGAGUAAUACUAACUGUAUAUAAAAUCUAAUAAAAACUCAAAAAGUAAGGGUGCAAAACUACAAACAUAUAAAUGUACAAUAAUUCCAACAACUUAAAUCUGAAAUAUGUGAUAUUCAUGAAAAACUCUAGAAAAAUUAAAUGAGUUGUCAAACAUAUGUUAUAUAAUUAGUUAUUUUUGAAAUUUCCUCAAAAAUAGUAUUUCUCAGCAAGUGGUCCUAAUAGAUUCCUUUGUUUGUAACCUAUGAGGAAAUUAAGUGGACAGUCAGAUUUUGUACGGAGAGUUGUUAUGGACAAAUUUGAUUGCUCUAUUGUAACUCUACGGCCUCACUGCUAAGAUAUUAUUCCUUUGAUAUUAUAUUGUUCAAUCAUUUUUAUUUAUUCAUUAUACAUAGCAUGACUCUUAAAAGAUAAUAAUAAUGAUUGAUAUAAGGCUUGUACCAAAAAGCUCAUAUUAAUUAGUAAUAUUUAGUAUUAUGCUUUGAAUAAUAAUUUUAAAAAAAUAAUUAAUAUGUCAAAUGUGACCAGUAGAAAUUAUAGUUUUGAAAUAUUAGAUAGAUUCCACCAUUCUACAUUAAAUCUUGUUUUAUUGUUCACGUGGCAUGUUUUAUUUUCUAGAGUUUUGUAUAUCACCAUAUGAAUUUAGCAAAAGAAAGGGACGUAAAUAUUUUGCAAUAAUAAAUCGUUUCAUUAAGAAUAAAAAGAUUACACAUAAAUUAAAACAGAGGGAGUAGGUUAGAUAUUCUAACAAACAUUAAUGAUUUAAUUUAACCAUCGAGCAAUUCAAUAGCCACACUUUGGAUGGAGAUCACAUCUCCACCCGUUUUAGGAACCACAGUUACCGUAAUGGUAUCGUCAUCUUCCAGCUCAAUGUCCUCUAAC
rnacentral:lncRNA from 1 species